rnacentral:lncRNA from 1 species
UUGUGAAAGAACUAGCCGAAGGGGACCAUCACAGUUGGGGCGGCAUUCCUGCUAGCACUACAAAAAGCUCCGGUCUUAACGCCCCUACUACUGCUGUGCAGCCUUUCCUCGGGUUCGUAGAGUCGGGUUUCCCGUUUACCCACAACGGAGGAGCCGCCCCCACCAGGCAGGCGGCCACGGGUCAUAACGCACUCUUCGUGGAACUCAAUCUCAUUUAGAAAGCCUGAUCUCUAUCUUUCAGCAACUAGUAUAAAAGUAGAGGUUUUCUUUUUCAUUUCACUUAGCACAAGUCAACUGUUUUUUGUACUCUCGGAUUCCCUUUUGUUUUUUUGUUCACUUGUACAUAUCUCAGCUUUUAAUACAAUUACCUUCAAAUUCAAAGACCUCCCCCCCCCCCCCCCCCCCGAAAAACUCAUGUCAAGUAUUCCAUUCAUCCACUCCAAUACAAAUGACCCAUUUCUAUAUUUCAUUAAUGAGAAGCUUUUAUAGCCAUAUCAAUGUCAUGCUUGUUCAAGACCCCAAAUUUAAUAAAUCUUCAUUCCUUUCUUAAACUUACUGCAGCUUUUAUAGCCACACAAAUGUUACUAUAUGUCUAAGAGUACAAAUUUUAUAAGUCUUCAUUUCUUUCUUAAACUUAGUGUAAUCAAACUACAAAGAACAAAUUGGAACAGAGGGAGUAUGAAUUUUGCAAAUUAAUCCGUGAAGAAAAUAUUAAGAUUGCAGAAGUAAGAAGAAAAAAUUAAAAAAAGACCUGAAGGGCAUGAUUGAAGCAGCGGUAAGCUCUAAGCUGUUUGGCGAUAGUCUGGAGAUCUUCAUGCUUAAGGGGCUUUUCUUCACGAACCCACUGGUCCAACACUGGUAUGACCGAAGCACUUGAGCUUGUCGAAUACAGUAGCUUGUGGUACAGAGUAUCCUCUGGAGACGAGGCUGGGGUGGUAUCCGACCCUUUAUCUUUCUUAGACAUAAAUAAGGAGGCUAGUGUUUCAGGUUCAGUGGAGUAUGAGGAAACCCUAGUGGAGCUGAAUUUCCACCAUGAUUUCAGACCCCUAACACUUUGCUGAACAAGUUUCACCAUCUCAGUAGAAAUGCCAAAAAGUAUGGCUCCCUCCUUCACUCUGAAUUGUUUUUAAGUGAAAACAACUCAAAAGUAAUGAAUUGAACACUCUACAUUUUUAACAGUUUGUUUGGGGGGUUGUUCAAUAUAGUGUUUUUAAUUGUAUUGUAUUUUUUUAAUUUAUAUAAUAUUUAGAUAUAUUGUAUUAUUUUCUGUUAUUUUAUUAUGUUACACACUAACAAUUUAAAUAAUAGGUAUACAUUAUGGAUAGAGUAGUUAUUAAAAUAAAACUAUAGUAAGGGCAAGAUGAGUAAAAAUAAGGUAACAACACGACUAUAUCAAAUCGAGUGUUUCGUAAAAAAGGCACUUGCAAAUACAACUUUAAAAUCGUAUUCAUCAAAUGAAGCUUUUAAAUUGCAUUCAUCAAAUGCAACUUUUAAAUUUCAUUCAUCAAGUACUACUUAUAAAUCACCAAAUUCAACUUAUAAAUCGCAUUCAUUAAGUGUAACUUAUGACUUUACAAAUGACAUCUACAAAGUUCAUAUAUGCAACUUAUAACGGAUUUGACUAAUGCAUUAUAAAGUGUAUUCUCGAUAUGCAAUUUAUAAAGCGCAUUAACCUAUCACUUAUAUUUCUUGCGACUCAACAUGAAAAGGAGUACUAAAUAUAAUUAAUUAAUAUUAUAUAUUAUUUUUUACUUUUAGAUUAUAGCGGGAAGACAGGACGCGUUAGGUUGCCCAUUUUAUUAAAUCUUUUAAAUAUAUAGGUUGUGAUGUACUAAACCACCCAUGAGUUAAACAAGAUUUUAUGGUCCAUUCAUAACUCAAAUUUGUUCUUGUCCUACACUCUCUCAUUUUCUUAAUAAAAAAGUAUUUCAAGAAUUUCACAUGUAAACAGUUGAUAUUUGAUACUAAAGCAUUUUUUCCUUUUUUUUUCUUAAGUACCGGGUAAACAUUGCCAUUAUAUGACAUCGUAAUUUUCGUUGAGAUCUUCUAUUUGUUAUACAAAAUUAAACUUUUAAGUUCCAUCUUCUCCAUGAUUUCUAUUACACAAUCCCAAGAUAGUUCUUGAGAUCUUCUAUUUGUUUUCUAAUUAUUACCAAAAGAUUUCAUAAAAAGUUCUAGAGGUCCUCUUUUUGUUCUUGUUUUACUUUAAUUCUGCACUUAGUAUAUGUUUGGUUUAUUGGAAAUGGAAAUCAGCAAUAUUGACAAAUGCAGCCAUGCAGAUUUGAGCUCUGUAAGUUGCUCAUUAUUUCCUUGUAAAUUUUAGAUAUUUUUUGACUGACAGCAGUAGCAAUGUAUCUUGCACUAAAUUUGUCAACUAACAACAGGGACCUGAGGAAAAUUAACAACGAGGUUUCAUCUGCGUAAAAUCUUCCUAGUUUCAUACUAGUAAUGAAAACAAUGUUAAUCUAAGCCAUAAUGAUUUCCUAUCUGUGAAUAAUCUCGAUCUAGUGGAUUUCUCGUCUUCGUCAAUUGAGAUACCUUGUCAUAGGUUAUGUUAAUCUAAGUAAAGCAAAUGAAUAUUGGUUAGAAGCAGUGCUCAAACUUCCCUUCCUUCAAGUCUUGAGUAGUUUAGAUGGACAGCUACCUGAGAUAAUGAAAAACUUAUCAUGCAUUUCAGAUUUUCUGCUACACUACUUUAGGAUAAAUGUAAAAUUAAGGAAGAUUCAGCCAUUUAAGAUAAAAUUACCUGAAAGAGAGUAAUGAAAUACUCUGUAAUUCCCGAGGAUCUUGGUUUUUGUUCUGAGCUUAAGGGAAGAGAAAAUUCCCGAAUCCAAUGUGAUGUCCAUGACGAAGGGCAGACCAAUAAGGGCAGGCCAAUCAAGACUGUCAAGGUUCUAGGUUGGCAAAGUACUUAUGAAGAAGGGAUGCACAUGUCACCUUAGGUGAAUCCUACGUCGGAAUGGAAGAAGAAAGUGAUGAGCUUUAUAAGGCAUGAUACAAGUUCACAUGGUAUGCGUGCUUUUGGGGUUCGAGGUGGCGUAACCCAAAAAGACAAAUUCCUGCGAGCCUAAGGGCAAAGCGCAUAAUAUAUGUCAUGGACUUGGAUCGUAACAUCCAAUGCUUGAAGACUAGGACAAUGGAAAGCCUGCAGUCUACUAGAGAAAUUCUCUUCACCAGGUUGUCUGAGGAUGAACUUGCAGUUUGGGUACAAUAUGAAAAACAUGAAGUACAAGAUAGCAGAAGCAAACGGAAGAACAUAAAGUACAGGUGCCGUUAACGCUGUGCAUUAAGCAUAUGCUGAUCCACCAACAAAAUCACAGAUCCACCAGUUACCCUUCAUUUUAACCAUUUCUCAUAUCUGUUAGAAAAAUAAUUUGGUAACUCAAAAAGAGAUAUUUAAAUUGUUGUCUAGGUUCAUUCUUGUUAUAUUAUAUUAAUGGAUCUUUAUUAUACUAUUAAUUUGAAUAUAUUUAAUGUGUGUAAUAGUAAAUUUGAAUAGCUUUAAAUAUAACAUUUUAUUAGCUUUAAAUGGCUAUUAUUAUUUAUUAUGGCUAUCAAAUCAAUUAGUUUUUUGAAUGUGACCAUUUGAAACAUUUCAUGCUUAAUGGCCUUAAAUAUGUAAUGUUUCUCAGCUUUGGUUUUAUAACUAUUCUUUCUUGACAGUUAUAUGUACAUUUUGGACUAUAUAUAUAAAUAUAUGUUUGUGUUCAUUUUGAAGGUAGAAGAAAGAAAAACUUUUCUUCUAUUGUGUUGGGUUGUUUUUGUUAAUCUUUGUUGUUUCUGUUCCUAGUUUAUACUAGAAGAGUUUGUUGAAUCUUGGGGGAUACGCCUAAUUUUAUUUAUUACGGUGUAAGCGAAAUAUCCUUAAGGACAGUGUCAUUGACACGCCUCAAGCUAAACUUUUGUUCUCCAUAAUCAUCCAUUUUUUUUCCAACAAUCUUAAGGAUAUUUAUACUAUUUUAUCAUGGAGAACCAAUUUUGACGUUGUCCAAUUUAUUUUUGAAAAUGGGUCCUGUACUUCAAGUUUGCACAGUGGUCUUAUAGAGAAUACCACUCUUUAUAAAAAUUAUUUUUGUGAGCAACGGAAUAUUAAUCAAAUUGUUGUUUCAAUUUUGUGCAUUAUCGCAUUAUGGGGGAUAAAUUGCACCACAAAAAAAAAAGAUACGUUUUUUUUAUAGUAUUUAUAUGCGCCUAAGCCUACAAAAUGUAGACUUUUAUUGUUAUCCAUUUUUUGAAAAUCUUGAAAGCUCUAAGAUAGUGGGUUUAAAUCUAUUCUUUAGUUUCAACAAAUUUGAGAUUUGAAUUUGAAGUAUUAUAAAUAAAAGCACAAUUGAUUUCUAUACCCAAAUCGUAUAAGUUCUUUGCUAAUUCUAUGAGAAUGAAAAAUUGAAUAAUUUAUUAUACAUGAUAAUCAUUCAUGUCAAAUAAAUUUGACAGAUCUUUUUUAUGGAAGGAAAGAGGAUGAUUAAUGUGUUAGAUUUUGUAAAUCUUCUCUCAUAAUAUUUGAAUGUUUUACAUAUAUUUGUUAAAGCAUUUCACAAUAUAUUAAACAACUUUUUGAGCUCUUGAAUUUUGAUGAAUUUGCAUUUAUCUUUACAAAUAAUAUAUCUACCGAAUUAUCUUAAUUAGUGAGUCAUGAUUUCUAGGAGUUCAACUUGAGUAUAUGUGUUCCUAGAUCAUUGCGGGUCUCCUCCAUAUUAGUUUGAUAGAAAUAAUAGAUAAGACCUUCAUGCUCUUGUGACAUUUCGGGUGAAACUAUAUUAUUAGUCUGUUGUUUAUAAAUUGGUAAAACUCUUUAUGAGUUGUGGAAAAGUUAUCUCCUUAACCUGAAAUUUUCGAAAUGUGGGGGACCGUAGAGUCCAGAGUUAUAUAUCAUGUUCCUAAUAAGGAAAAAUGCAGGAAAUAUUAUUUGUUAAAAUUAUAAUGAGGCCUUACAAAGUUGAGAUAUUUUGUGGAAAAAAAAUUAUAUUGGAAGAUCAAAACUAUGUUGUAUUUUUGGCUCUGAAAAGUUAUUUCAUUACGGAUCUCUUAGUCAUUUGGGUGAUGAAGAAAUCAUUAAAUUAUGAUCCGCUUCCUAUUGAUUUGAGAUAUUUCUGUAGAAGUUAAAGUUGCUUCUAUAUUUUAGAAAAUUUUAUUUUGGUGCUUGACUAUGGAAGAUACAUAAAGGAAAUAAAUUUUCAUGUGUUGAAAGAUGUUUCAAAAGGCACGGGUAUAGAAGUCAUGUUUUGUUUCAUUUGAGAUGAUUUUAUGCCUUAUUUGAGAAAUACUAUGAGUUAGUAUUUUGUAUGUGAAUCUUCCACUAUAUUAGAAGGAUACAAUGAUGAUAUUGAAUCUCUGAUUCAGAUGAGAAAAAACUAGCUAGUUAUUGUGUGAUCACCUUUUGGUGGUUGUUACGAUAUUGGAAUUGUCUGGCAAUGAGGUUGAUUAAGCAACCUCUUGGUGAGUUAAACCGACAAUAAUUAUGUCGAUGAAUUGUGAUUGCCAAGGCACAAUAGCCAUUGUAAGAAUAUAAAUCUUUCAAUGGAAAGAGUAGAUACAUUCUCUGAGACAUAAUGUGAUAAAGCAAUUGCUUAGAGAUGAGAAAUUUUUUUUAAUACAUAUUAUGUGUAGUCAAAAGAGGAUUUGGCCGAUCCUUUGACUUAUAAGUGAAACAUCGAGGGGUUGAAACUUUUGACAAUUUGAGAUGUAUCAACAAUAAUGGUAACCCAACCUAUGUGACUGGAGAUCCCAUGAAGUAGGUUCAUAUGGGUAAUAACAAGUCAUUAGUUGAUCAAAUAUGCACUAUUAAUAUAGGUCUCUUCCUAUGGUGUGUGCGUGUAUAUAGUGCAAGACUGCAAAGAAUGUGAGGCUGAGUUAUUAAACUCUUAAUCCAAUAAUUCAUAGCCUAUUGUAGGUGGUGUAUUGUGCUGCAGAAUACACUUGAUGGAUGGACCUAUACGAGUACGGAGUGGAGCCGCUCCUAUGAAAUUUGUGGCAAAAUUUCUAGAGAACUUAUGAAAACAGGUGCGUGCAUGGCCUAUUAGCGCAAAAUCGCGAUAAACAACAAAGUGUGUGAGGGUAUAAUGUGAUUGAUAAGACACUAAAUUUACAAAAGAAUUCUUGGUUCAUAGAAGUUUUAAACUUCACCAAUUGUUCCGUAAGUUUAAUCUUAUUUUAUCUAGGUCUGGUUCAUAGUCCAAAAGACACCAGAUUCGAUGCAUUAUGCUCAUUUGUGAAAACCCAGCGAAGCUUUUUAUUUUACUCUAUUACUUAAUAUUCUUUUUGAGUUAUAUGGAUGAUUGUUAGAAAAAUAAUUUGGUAACUCAAAAAGAGAUAUUCAAAUUGUUGUGUAGGUUCAUUCUUGUUAUAUUAUAUUAAUGGAUCUUUAUUAUACUAUUAAUUUGAAUAUAUUUAAUGUGUGUAAUAGUAAAUUUGAAUAGCUUUAAAUAUAAUAUUUUAUUAGCUUUAAAUGGCUAUUAUUAUUUUAUUUAUUAUGGCUAUCAAAUCAAUUAGUUUUCUGAAUGUGACCAUUUGAAACGUUUCAUGCUUAAUGGCCUUAAAUAUGUAACGUUUCUCAGUUUUGGUUUUAUAACUAUUCUUUCUUGACAGUUAUAUGUACAUUUUUGACUAUAUAUAUAAAUAUAUGUUUGUGUUCAUUUUGAAGGUAGAAGAAAGAAAAACUUUUCUUCUAUUGUGCUGGGUUGUCUUUGUUAAUCUUUGUUGUUUCUGCUCUUAAUUUAUACUAGAAGAGCUUGUUGAAUUCUGGGAGAUACGCCUAAUUUUAUUUAUCACGGUGUAGGCAAAAUAUCCUUAAGGACAUCGUUCUUGAUACGCCUUAAGCUAAACUUUUGGUCUCCAUAAUCAUCCAAUUUUUUCCAAUAAUAUCAUCUCCAAUUAUUAUACUUAGUUUUGUGCUCCAAUAUCUCUAAUUCAUGCUUUUUGUGGUUUAGACUUCAUGAUGAGACAUUUUUCACUAAUUUUUCUUUUUUGAACUAGACAUUUUCCACUAAAGUUUCACAUGGACAACUUAUUUUGUUAACUAGAAAUUCAAUUCAAAUCUUGGUAAACGCCGUUUGUAAAAGGCAGCUCGGUGCACAAAGCAUCCGACAUUUAUACACAGAUCAAAAAGGACCGCACAUCAAGGGGUGUGAUGUAGACAACCUACCCUAAUGCAAGAAUUAAUGGCUAUUUCCAUGGCUUAAAUCAAUGACCUAUAGGCCACAUAGAGAUAACUUUACUGUUGCUCCAAAGCUCUCCUUAGUAGGAAAGUCGAAAGAUUCAAAGUUAUUAUGACAAUUAUGUAAUUGUUUAAGAUGGGCUUGAUCUUACUUCAUUGUUCUGAAGACUGAGUAUGACUCACAGAAGUUCCUAUCAGUAAUUGAAAUGAUGAAUUGUAGCGUAGAAAACUAUUUAUUAGCUCAACAAUGCUAACACACAUAGUUAUAGCAAUAAUUCUAAAUUAGAUAUUUAAACAUAUCCUUACGUUGUAGUACACUAAUUCCGUGGGACAGACAUUGAGUUCAAAAUUCGCAUUAUUGUACCAUUUGUAUGGGUCAAAAUCUGGUCAUAGGAUGAUUGUUCUUACAAGGAAUGAUAAGGGGUCGACCAAGCCGUAAUCACGCCCAUGAGGCAUGAUAGUAAAGAGCACCUCAGUCAUUGCCGGGGUCAAAUCGUCGGAAAGCUUACAUCGCAGAAUGAGCGUGAUGUUUGGCCGAGCGAUGAGGGGCACAGUCAUAGGAAAGCACACUGGUCAAAGACCAUUGGAUAAAAGAGAAAAUAGCUAAUAUAUAUAUAUAUAUAUAGCUAUAUAUGGGGAGCUGAGACCAGACACGGGGGAGUGUGGCUAGCCAUGAGGAGAGAAUCAACAAAGGAAAAUCUCUCUCUCAUCAACAGCUCCUUCUCUUCCUCUCCCUUGCUUCCAUGAUUGUGGUGCAAGUCUGUCUUAUAUGUAAGCUUAUCAUUUACAUCUAAUGUAUGAUCAUUAUAUCAAGAAAUAUUACACAUUCAUGUUCUUCUUCGAUUUUUAUAUCUUAUAUAGUCGGAUCUAGGAUUAAUUAUGUUUGGCUAAGAUUUACCUUCCAUAUCUCCAGUAAUUAGUUCGACAAAAGGGUUUUAUACUUUUUUGGUCAAACAAUUUGGCACGGUUUGUGGGAAUUUUUUAGCCAAAUUUCUUAGUUUCCUUUAGAUUCAGAACCGACGAAAUGUCACUACUCACUCGAAAGAGCGGUAAGUAGGCCUUCGAGACAACCGUAUCGACCUAGGUCAGGUUGCUACAUAAAGUAGAAGUUAUAACCAAUGUCUAUGCAAAAUCAACGUCUCGCUUGUAACGAUAGAUUUUGCACGACGGAUGCACGUUCAAAAUAGAAUCAUGGUCAUAUGGCAUGGCCACAACCCCAUUUGACGUAUCUACCUUAUAUAUAUGCUGACUCGCGUUCCCACCCCUUGGGAGGGGACGACAACUUACUGCACAGUUUUUGAAAGAAUGGGCACAUCCUGCCCUAUCUUCACAUUCCCCCAAACAUUAGAUGAUUUAUGAGCGAUGUAUGACAUGUUUCCCUUGUUGUUUGUACAAAUCGGACGAGAUCGGACCAGGACUCGUUUUCAACACCUCAGCGAGUGAGGUGGACUCAACCCAUUCGAAGACUAGACGCUGUUAACGAUGGAGCCGAACACCGCCGCCAAACCUAAAGCCACCAUUCGAACACUAGACGAAACGAGUAACAUUACAACAUCACUCCUUCUUUCACUGACUCAUUAGGUCGAGGUAUGGAAAAUUUCAUUUUGGUUUAUCUUCACUCUUUUGUUGGUUUAAACAGGAAUGCGAGCACUUGCAUGGGCAAAUGAGCAUUCCAACUAGAAACAAUGGAAGGGAAACUACUACAAAACAAUUGGAAUGUCGCCCACCUCAAUUACUUCAACCUUUGAAAUAGGACAUCCCUCAAGUCGUGCCCUUUUUUCCUCACCCAGGUUUUGUCCCAGUUAAGUCUUAUCCGGGAGAUUUCUAACGAGGCGAAGAAAGGGAUGUCUCGAAGUUCAAACAUGAUUCAUCACCCCGCCUGUCGACUGCUUCCCCAAGCCGGGCGAUGAAGGGACUAGAUACAUGGAAACUUCUCCAAUAUAUGUAUGAAACGAACAUGUAUUACAUUCUCUAGUGAAUGAAACAGAGCAACAUUUUGUACUCUCCAUCAUAGUAUUCUCCAAUGAAAGCAAAGUUAAGCAAACUGGGACUCACCCAGGAAACGCACAAAAGCUAACUGGGACUCACCAGGAAACGCAGAAGCUAAUAAAAACUGGGAUCCCCCAGGGAACACCCAAUAUUCUCUAGUAAAAACACAACCGAGCACGCCAGGACUCAUCCCGACGUACGCAUAAACAGUAUGGCGACCUAUAAAAGUUCUCCAAAAUCUACGACAAUGAAACAACGGGUUAACAUUUCGACCUUAACUCGAAAUAACACCCCCACAGCCAAAGGCCAUUGCCAAAAGAAGAUUUUGACCUCACUCGAAUUACAACGGGUUAACAUUUCGGCCUUAACUCGAAAUAACACCCCCACGGCCAAAGACCAUCGCCAAAAGAAGAUUUCGACCUCGCUCGAAUUACAACAGGUUAACAUUUCAACCUUAACUCGAAAUAACACCCCCACGGCCAAAGGCCAUCACCAAAAGAAGAUUUCGACCUCGCUCGAAUUACAACAGGUUAAUAUUUCGACCUUAACUCAAAAUAACACCCCCACGGCCAAAGGCCAUCGCCAAAAGAAGAAUCUGACCUUGCUCAAAAUAUAACGGGUUAACAUGUCGACCUUAGUUCGAAAUAAAACCCUUACGGAACUAACCAUCGCCGAAUCAAAUAGGUCCUAUUUCGAUUUUACUCGAAAUAAUGCAUUUAUGGCCACCUGCCAUCGUCAAAAAGAAAAUGUUCGAACUCGUGCAAAUAAAAGUCAGAAAUUGACUUUGCUCCCUACGGCGACGCCAAGUUCUACCCCGCUCGAAUACAUAUGAAAAAGUUGACUUCGCCUAAAUCGGCAAGUUUGAACUCAAUCCCACUUGAAUGACCAAGUCGAAACCGACUUUGUCCAGAAUGGCGAAACUGAAUUCAACUUCAUUUGAAUCAAGGGUGAUUCCGCCUAAAGCGACAAAUCAGAUGUCAAUAUCGCCCGAAUACGCGAGUUCAAAGAAAUUCCAUUCGGACUUAUACGACGAGACCCUACUCGAUCCGAUCAAGGUCGGACUCCCAAAUCGAAUAAUCAGGGACUCGCCACGCAAAAAUCCGAAUGUAUUCGCCAAAACAAAAAGAUGUAACAAACAAGGGGAAGGGAAAGAAAAUCAAAGGAUAUACAAAAGCGAAACAACUUUCUUAUUUAUAUAUACGUGCGCAACAGCCGCACCUUACACAAGGCCAGAACGAGCCCAAUAAAAAAAAAGAGACGAAAAUGAAGAACAAAGAGAAUAUAUACUAAAACAGCAAUAACUUGUCACUCAGCAUCAUCACCGCCAUUCUCCCCAUCAUCAUCUUCAAGAAACUCCUCCUCAAUAUCAGCAUCCUCGCCGGCCUUUGGUGUCGCAGGAUCGUAAUCGUAGUUGACACGAGCCUCUCGUGCCUUCACCCAAGAUCCUUCAUAAGUAGCCUCAGAAACAUUGCCCACCUCCCACAAACCCUUGUAUAUGUCUCGUUGAGCCUCGGCAUGAACCUAAAGCUCAUGCAAGUGGCGAGGAAUAGCGGCGGAGGCAGAUUCAACUUGGGUCAACAAUUGCGCCUUUUCAGCCUUAAGGAUUGCGACUCGAUCUCCCAAGUUUGAAGCUUCCUGGUCUAUCUCACCAAUGCACUCUUUGAGCCUUGCCUCCCUUAGCGUGGACGUUUCCCUCUUGGACUCCUGCUCAGAUUGAAGGACGCUGAUGGUAUCCUCCAACGCUGCCGCUCUGGCUAAAGUCGAUGCUCGAGCGUUCUUGGCAUUUUCCAACUCGGCUACUUUUCUCUCCAGCUCGGCUAGCUUCCUUAUCCACUCUGCACUUAAAGCUUCAACUCUGGCAGCAUUCUGAUCGAGUUUAGCUUGCAAUGACAGCACCUUCGCCUAAAGGUGCUCACACUCUGCAGCGACCCCCUUUCCCAACUUAAGUUCUUCGUCCUUAGCACGAAGUAGCUCCUUGAGCUCACUACACUUGCGGAUGGACUGCAUCAGCUCCUGAUCCUUUUUUUUCUAGCUCCUCCCCGAGAGAUUGAUUGCCAGUGCUUGCUCUGAACUGCUCAUGCAUCUCACGACAUUUGUUGACCCGAGUCUCGGCCUCGCGAGCACUCUCGAUCACCAGCAUGUAAGACUAAAAAUAAAGAAAAAAGUCGGUGAAGGCCAAGGCCCAAAAAAGGGGGAAGGGAGGGAAAAAAACAAAGAGAAGAAACUUACCCUCAGGCCCAUCGCAGCCACUUCAUGUGAUAAUUCGACGUCACUGAUGUCCUGGAGAGCCGCACACUCUGCGGCAGAGCAUAGAAGGUCGAAUUGCGGCACCAAAUCCACAGUGUCUCGCAGAAGAUUGAGGUCCGAUAGAAUCUCGAGUAUUCGGGAAGGACCUCCCGCUUCUACCACAGUUCGGGUAAAAACCUCCUCGAACAUCCUAACAUCAUUAGGAUCGAGGUCAAAGUCAGACUCGUAAUUGAUAACUAGGGAUUCUAGUCUAGUUUAUGCUCCUUUUUGCUUGAGUUUUGGACUAAAAUGUGUACAAGUAUUCCCCAAAAGCUAACUUGUUGUGCUUGUCUGCAGUGUUUGGUCAAAAAGGGACAAAGAUGUCAUAACCAGCUAAAAAAAGGAGUGAAACCUGCACAAGUUCAAAACUAAGUCAAAGCAGCGCUACAACGGAAAAUCCACCAUGGAUGUAGAAGACCCACCGCGGUCCUCGGUGGUAAGGAUUCAGAGAGUUUUCAUUUUUGGAAUUCAAGCUACCGUGGUCCGCUGUGAUUUUAUGCGGCAGAGGUGCCUCCACUACGACUGCGGUCAAUUUACCGCGGUCCACAGAAAAGGAGUUCAGGGAACCUGCAGUUGAGCCAAAUAUUGAAGAUCGUGGUCCGCGAUGGAUUUUAUGCAGCUGCGGUAGCCUCACCACUGCAGCGGUCCAUUUUUCGUUGUCAGCGGUACCUCCAUCAGGGACAUUUUUGUCUGGAAAAUUUAGCUGUGUAUAAAUACUUUCUUUUCAGAUUUUUAGGUCAUCUUACGUUAGCUGAGCACGUGAAGCGCCGUUUAUGUCUAUUUUGAGUAAUUUUGUAGCUUACUUAGCAAUUAAUCUUAGUCUUUGAUCUUGUAAUUACAAUUUAUGUAUUAUUCUUCAUCUUAAUCUAUGAUUUCUUCUUCAAUUAUGAGUAGCUAAACCCAUUAGCUAGGGUUAGGGUUGUGGCUCAACCCUAGUGUGGAUAUUUAAUGGGUCUCUCUUUUUAGGGCUUAGAUGCUUAUGGGUGAUGGAUAUUUGGUCUGAUUUAUGCUUUUUAUGUUGAAUUAGUGGUUGCAAAUACUAAUUUGUGCCUUUUUAACUUAGGCUCUUCUUGAGAAAGAGAGACUAGUCUAGGAAUUUCAGGCCAACAAGGAAUUGAGGUGUAUUCAAGAGGUUGAUAGCCCCAAUUAAAGGGUAAACCUAGAGAUAGUAAUAACCGACUUGAGCCAAUAUUGCUUGUACAAAACACCCAAUUGGGCUUGAGAAAGCCAAUUAGGGCAAAGUCACUCAAACUACUGAGAGGUAUAGAGUGAGUAGUUUCGUGCAUUGGCUAUAUCACGAUCCCAACUAUAACAUUAUUGCCCUAAGUUUGAGAUCCUGUUAGAUACUCAUCUAGGAGAAAGUCACUUCCUUAGUGCCUCUUUAUCCAUUUAGAAAACUCUACAAAAAUAUCCAUUUAGCUUAAUUUCUUGCAUCACUAGUAUUAAAUUUAGAAGUAACAAAUAAAUAAGAAUGAUUGGAAGUGCAAUUAAAAGCACUACACAUUGCUAGAUUAGAUAGGAAUCCAACUCCAAAUAUAUCUAGCUCCCUGUGGAUUCGAUCCCGACCUUCUCGGGUAAAAGCUACAUCGAUCUCUCUUGUCACUCUGUAGUAGUGUAGGGUUGGACCCGAUCACUUUUUGGCACCGCUGCUGGGGAGCUAAACGGUUUUGGAUAUCUAUCUGAAUAGUUUUGUGUUUUGUUUUUCUUUCCUUCUGUGUUACUAAUUUGUGUGCGUCAUCAAUUCAGGUACAAAAUGACGAAUAAUGAUAAUCUUGGAAAUGUUAUUCUGAUGGAGGAUGUAGAUAACAAUAUUGAUGAUGAGGUACCUAUAGUGCCUCAAGCUCAAAGGAGAGGCUGCCAGGACAAUGAUAUUGUUCCAGACCCUCCCCCGCCUCCUCCAAGAGUCGUUCCUCGGGUGCUUCCAAACGAGGGAUAUGCUAGUGCAAUUGUCCCACUCCGGAUCCAGGCGGGCAAUUUCCAAAUUACAAAUGUGAUGUUGACUUUGUUGGAGCAGCGAGGGUAUUUCACAGGUGCCCCCCAUCAGAAUGCAUAUAAACAUCUCAAGGGCUUUGUGGAUACGUGUUGGGGAAGCAAGCAAACAAAUGUGUCAGAGGAUGCAUUGCAGUUGAGAUUAUUCCCUUUCUCACUUACAAGGAAAGCUUUGGACUGGCUUGAGAGGCUUCCUAACCAUUCUAUCACAACAUGGGAUGGGUUUGCUGAUAAGUUCAUAGCCAAGUUUUUCUCACCGGGACAUAUGGCGGCAUUGAGGGAUGAAAUCUUAUCAUUCAAAUAGGAACUAAAUGAGCCCCUUCAUAAAAUCUGGGAUCGAUAUAGAACUAUGUUCAAGGAAUGCCCCAACAAUGAUAUGACUGAGGCAAUGAUUCAGCAGACAUUUUAUCGGGGUAUAAACAUGGCCAAUUAGUGUAUGGUGAACCAGUUAGCAGGGGGUAAUUUCAUGAAGUUGCCUUAUGCUGAGGCUUGUGAUAUUCUUGAUAAGAUGGCUGGUACUUCUUCAACUUGGCAAAGUCGAGCUAAUGUGCCACAGGGUGACCCCACUUUCAUUCACUUGCACAAAGAGCUCUAUGACCAUGGCCAAGCAAUAGCAAAGUUGACUACAAUAGUGAACCAGUUGACAAAAACUCAGUUACAAAAAGUUCAAGCCCCUAGACAAGUUAAUGCUAUAGAAGGUGUCAACAUGUUGGUCAACAAGAGGCGACAAAGAGGUCAAAAAGGUCAAAGUAGUCCGGAUCAAUAUGACCAAGGUAGUGGUGGUUUCAAUUAAGAUGAGGGCUAUGAUGAGCAUAAUGAAGAAGUGCAGUAUGUGAACAAUUACCAAGGACAAAGGGGCAAUACUCCUAACCAACAACAACAGUGGAAGUCCCAAGGCAACUAGGGGAAUCAAAACCAACAAGGAAAUAGCUACUGGGGGAACAACAAUCAAAAUUGGGGCAAUCAGAACAACCAGGGCAACUGGAGUGGCAACAACAACAAUUGGGGAGGAAACAACAACCAAGGGGGUUGGAAUAAUAGCAAUCAAGGAAAUCGGGGGCAAGGCUUCCAAAGACCUCCGAUGUAUCAACAAACAAACAACCCUCCUCCAUUUUUGUCCCAAGGUCCUAGCUCGUCAAAUAAUGAGAUGGGAAGGAUCGAGAUGAUGUUUGAAUAAAUGAUGAAAAAGAACGCCGACUCUGAUGCUCAGUUGGCGUCCCAUAAUACUUCGAUCCGAAACUUGGAGGUUCAACUUGGCCAAAUUUCGCAAUCUUUGAAUACUCUCCCUAAGGGGGCUCUACCUAGUGAUACGGUAGUAAACCCGAAGGGUGGGAACAAUACUAGGCAUGUAAUGGCGGUGAUUACUAGAAGCGGACGAGGUAGUGAAGUGAACACUUCCAAGCAAAAGAAAGUUGUGAAUGAUGAGGUUGAAAUGCAAGAUGAUGAUAUCCCUUUAGUUGAUGAGCAAGUUAGUGAAGAGAAAGUGAAUGCCUAAGUGAGGAUUGAUAUUCAUGAUAAUGAGGUGGAGGCUCAAAAUGACAUGAAUCAGUCUAGGAAAUACGUGAUAGACAUGUCGGAAACGGUAGUGCCCAAGGCUAAAACUCCUUUGCCAAGGCCUCCUCCACCUUACCCUCAAAGGCUUGCGAAUCAAAAGAAUGAGAACUAAUUUAAGAAGUUCAUAGAGAUGAUGAAAAGCUUGUCAAUCAAUGUUCCAUUAGUGGACGCUCUUGAACAAAUGCUGGGUUAUGCCAAGUUCAUUAAAGACUUGGUGACUAAAAAGAGAUCCAUGGAUUGUGAGACCAUCAAAAUGACUCACCAAGUAAGUGAAAUUGUGCACUCAAUGGCUCCAAAGCUUGAAUAUCCCGAUGCUUUCACUAUUCCAUGCACGAUUGGGAGUGCAGAUUUUGCAAAGGCAUUAUGUGACUUGGGAUCGAGCAUCAAUUUGAUGCCUUACUCCGUCUUCAAAACUUUGGGUGUUGUUCAACCACGACCUACUUCAAUGAGGUUACAAAUGGUGGAUAGAAUAAUGAAGAGGCCGCUUGGUAUUAUUGAUGAUGUUCUUGUUCGGGUGGAGAAGUUCAUUUUGCCUGCUGACUUUGUGAUUUUGGACUGCGAGGUUGAUUAUGAGGUUCCGAUCAUAUUGGGAAGACCUUUCCUUGCAACUGGGAAGGCCUUAGUUGAUGUGGAAGUAGGGAAACUCACCUUCCGGGUGGGUGGUGAGAAAAUGGUCUUUCAUGUGUGCAAAUCAAUGAAGCAACCCAACAGUACAGAAGUGUGCUCUUUUGUGGAUCUUGUCAUGGAAGUCAUAAUUGAUGAUACUAGUGCAAUGAUCAAUGUGGAGGACCCUCUAAAAGUGGUAUUGUUGAACCUUUAUGUCAAUGAGGAUGAAGGCCGGGUGGAGUGUGUCAAUGCUUUGCAUGGAAUGAGCUCUUACUCUUAUGAGCCUCGUAAGCUCUCUUUGGAUUUUGAGAAUAGAAAGACCCCACCAAUAAAGCCCUCAAACAAGGAACUUCCCGUGUUGGAAUUGAAGUUGUUGCCUCUACACCUCAGGUAUGAAUUCUUAGGCCCUCGUUCAGUUUUGCCAGUUAUUCUUUCCUCUUGUCUUACUAACAUGCAGGUAGAUGCCAUAUUGGCGGUGCUCCAAAAAUAGAAGAAGGCAAUUGGAUGGAUUCUAGCUGAUAUCCGGGGAUAAGCCCCGCCUUUUACAUGCACAAGAUUAUUCUUGAAGAUGAUUCCAAGCCCUCCGUGGAAUAUCAAAAGAGGUUGAAUAAGGCUAUGCAAGAGAUUAUCAAAAGGAGGUGAUCAAAUGGUUGGAUGUAGAGGUUGUGUACCCCAUCUCAGAUAGUUCUUGAACUUAGCCGGUGCAAUCUGUGCCGAAGAAGGGUGGUAUGACAGUGGUUACUAAUGCACAAAAUGAGUUGAUUCCCACCAAGACUAUCAUCGGAUGGAAGGUGUGCAUGGACUACCAUAAACUGAAUAAAGUGACCCACAAGGAUCACAUCUCAUUGCCUUUUCUUGACCAGAUACUAGAUAGACUUGUUGGGCGGGCCUUCUACUGUUUCUUGGAAGGGUACUUCGGGUACAACCAGAUUUUGAUUGCUCCGAAAGAUCAGGAGAAAACAAUCUUCACUUGUCCGUAUAACACCUUUGCCUUUUCUAGAAUGCCAUUUCGGUUGUGUAAUGCACCGGCUACAUUUCAGCGAUGUAUGAUGGACAUAUUUAUCGACAUGGUGGAGGACAUUUUGGAGGUGUUCUGGACGACUUCAGUGUUGUGUGUGACUCGUUUGAUGAAUGUUUGAAAAAUCUUGACAAGGUGUUGGCCCGGUAUGAAGAGACCAAUCUUGUGCUUAACUGGGAAAAAUGCCACUUUAUGGUCGAGGAUGGCAUUGUCCUCGGCCAUAAGAUUUCAAAGCAUGAUAUAAAGGUGGACAAGGAUAAAAUUGAAGUGAUCUCAAAGCUUUCUCUUCCUACUUCAGUCAAGGGGGUUAGAAGUUUUCUUGGGCAUGCACGGUUCUACCGAAGAUUUAUCAAAGACUUUUCUAAGGUAGUGAAUCCUUUGUGCAAGUUAUUAGAAAAAGAUGCCAAGUUCAUGUUUAAUGAGGAAUGUAUGCAAGCUUUUGAACUUUUCAAGUACAAAUUGACAACCACUCCCAUUAUUACCGCACCCAAUUGGAGCUUACAUUUUGAGAUCAUAUGUGAUGCAAGUGACGUUGCAGUUGGAGCGAUCUUAGGUCAAAGAGACAACAAGAUGUUUCACCCGGUGUAUUAUGAAAGCAAGACAAUGAAUGAUGCUCAAGUGAACUACACGGUGAUGGAAAAAUAGGUGCCAACAAUUAUGUUUGCAAUGGAGAAAUUUAGGGCUUAUCUCAUGAGGGCCAAGGUGAUAGUUCAUACUGACCAUGCAGCACUUUGCUACUUGGCGACAAAGAAGGAUUCCAAGGCGAUAUUGAUGAGAUGAGUUCUAUUACUUCAAGAGUUUGACCUUGAGAUUGUUGAUCAGAAAGGGAGUGAAAACCAAGUGAUAGACCACGUAUCCCACUUGGAGGAGGAGGGGAGGCCUUGUGAUGGCCUUGAAAUUAAUGAUCCAUUCCUUGAUGAGCAACUUCUCUCUAUAUCUGUGAAUAGCAUGCCUUGGUUUGCAAAUGUUGCCAACUUUCUUGUGACCGGUAUUGUUCCAUGUGAGCUCUCUUCUAACCAAAGGAAGAAGCUCAAAUGGGAUAGCUUGGAAUACUAUUGGGAUGAGCCUUAUUUGUUCAAAAUUUGCAAUGAUGGUGUGAUCCGAAGAUGUGUUCUGGAAGAAGAGCAACUGAGUAUUCUUAAUUCUUGUCAUUCCUCUCCUUAUGGUGGUCACCAUGGUGGGGCAAGGAUAGCUUCAAAGGUGCUUAGCUGUGGAUUCUAUUGGCCUACAUUGUACAAGGAUGCAGGUGAUCUUGUGAAGAGAUGUGAUGAGUGCCAGAGAGCUGGCGAAAUUUGAAAGAAGGAUGAAAUGCCUCUCACCACUAUUCUUGAGGUUGACAUAUUUGAUGUGUGGGGCAUCGACUUCAUGGGACCUUUUGUAAGUUCAUGGGGUAACACAUACAUUCUGGUGGAUUUUGAUUAUGUUUCCAAUUGGGUUGAGGCCGUGGCUUUACCCAACAAUGAGGCCUGGAGUGUUGUGGCUUUUCUCAAGAAGAGUAUCUUUACUCGGUUUGGCACUCAUAGAGCAAUCAUCAGUGAUGGGGGUUCUCAUUUAUGCAAUAAGGCAUUUGAUACUCUACUUGCAAGGUAUGGUGUCAAUCAUAAGGUUUUAACCCUUUACCAUCCUCAGGCUAGUGGGCAAGUUGAGGUCUGCAACAGGGAGAUUAAGAGCAUAUUGUCAAAGACCGACCGACUAGUCCAAGAAAUUGGAUGAUGCUUUAUGGGCCUACAGGACUACUUAUAAGACUCUGAUUGGUAUGUCUCCGUACCGGUUGAUGUUUGACAAAGCUUGCCAUCUACCGGUUGAGUUAGAGCACAAGGCCAUGUAGGCUUUUAGAAAGUUAAAUCUUGAAUGGUUGUAGCAAAUCUUCGGGUGGAGCAACUUAAUGAGCUUGAUGAGUCCGGUUCCAUGCCUAUUCCAGCUCGUCCUUGUAUAAGGAAAAGAUGAAAUACUUAUAUGACAAAUAUGCUCGUGGCAAGGAGUUCAAAGUAGGUGAUUUGGUUCUCUUGUUCAACUCCCGGUUAUGACUGUUUACGGGAAAGCUUAAGUCAAAAUGGAGUGGACCUUUUGAGGUGGUGCUUGUGACUCUGUUUGGUGCUCUUGAUUUGAAAAACAAAAAUGGUAAGAUAUUCAGAGUUAAUGGGUAUAGAGUCAAGCACUAUCUUGGCAAGUUUGAUGAUGGCCACGUGAUGGCAAUGAUCCAUCUCAAGUGAUUGAUGGUAACUUUCGUCGUGUUGCGACGUUAAAUCAGGCACUUCUUAGGAGGCAAACCAUGUGUUUUUAUUUUUGUUUUUCUUUGAUUUUCCUCUUAGUAUAAGAUUUAUUUUUGGACUAACUGGUUGUGAGAUGUGUAUAGGGAUGUUUGAUGCAGUGCGGGACUAAGCUGGAAAAAUGUGUCACUCUCUGAAGUUUGGACCGCGGUUGCGCUCUUUUUUUUUGCGGUCCGCGGUGGCCUUAUCGCGGGGGUGGAAUUUGAUUGCGGUCAGCGGUGCUAAACAAUCCAAAUUGGGGGUUCUCUAAAGUUUCAACCGCUGUCGCGGUGCAUUUUUCACGGUCAGUGGUGGCUUAUUGCUGUCGCUGAGCAUUUUUCGCGGUCCGCAGUGGUCUCAAAGCAACAACUCUUCUGAACUUCACAACCGCGGUCCACAGUGAAUUUACCACGGCUGUGGUAGGUAAGAAUAUGUGGGUCCCAGGGCAUAUCUAUAAAUAGAACCAUAGGGCCCCCUUUUACACUUUUUGCUCUUUGCAUUCUCAAACAACAUAGACUACCGUUCACUCACACCCUAACUUACACAAACACAAGAACUAAGCUUAAUUUGUUUCACAUUUCACAUCUGGUAAUUUUAAUCAACCCUUAGUCUUUAAUUUUGUUUUUAUUUUCUUUUAAAUUGAUAGUUAUUACUUCUUCCUCUUCCUUUUUCUUUCAAUGUAGACUUAGGGUUCCAUAGUGUUAAUUAGAUUAGGUUUCAAUUGGUUAGAAAUUGUUAUUAACUACCUAGCGGGAUUGAUAAUGUGUUGAUUAAUGCCAAAAUGCAUGAAAAAUUAGAAACCCUAGGUGUUGAGCCCUAAUUUGACCUCCGCAGUCCGCAGUUAUCUUUGUUUUGUGAGAUUAUUAAGUUCUGAUAACUGCGGUCAGCGGUGGCAUUUUCCGCUGACAGUUGUGCCUCUCUGCGGCCGCGAUGGGUUUUCUGUGGUCUGUGGUGCAUCUGAAUCAGAGAGUGGGUAGUCUGAAUCCCAUACCUCCGCGGCCGUGGUUGAUUUUUCGCAGUCCGCGGUACAGCCUUCGAGGCCACGAUCCUUUUUUUGCGAUCCGCAGUUUGUUGUUUUGUCUUGCACUGUCAACUGCUUUUCUGCACUACUUCUUCUAGUCUUUGCACUAACAAGUUUCAAAUGAUUAUACUUGCAGACAAUGGUUAAAUCUAGAGGAGGUGGUGACAAACAAAAGGGUAAAGUAGAGUCAUUAUGGGGUAGGGGACGAGGCAUGAUUAAAUUGACCCUAGCAGUUCAUAAAGCAAUUGGAGAAACCAGUCAGAGUUGCAGAUAGAGCUACUUCCCAUUCUGAGGGAAGUGAGUACUUGCUAUCCCGGGAGACAUCAGAGUCUGAUUCAAUGCCCGAAUAUGUACCCAACUUUCCGGAGAGACACAUGUUGAGAGAUGCACCUAAACCUCCAGACUCUCCUACUGCUCGUGCUUCAGUUCAUAUUGGUUCUGAGUCAUCUAAGGUCUCAGCAGAGAGCAGUGAUAGUUCAGCUUCAACCUCAGCUACACCUUCGUCACCUGGACAGGAUGUGGAUGCUGGGUUACUGAAUGAAGAAGGAGGGGGUGUGCCUCAAACUGGGGGUGUGGAAAGAACUAGAAACCCCGAGGUGUGGCUAAAGCAGUUCGUUAGUGAACUGGCUUAUCAUAAGUUUCAGGAGUGGUGGCCUCUAAGAUCGCUUAUUCAUGAGCGUUAGUUCAUAGAGAGGGAUCUCCUGCCGCACAACCCCAAUGUGAAACAAUAAUUCAAUGAACGAGUGGGGUGGGAUUACUUCACUAGCAGGGUAUCAGAGGCAAAUGAUCACUUAGUCAAGGAGUUUUACGCCAAUCUUUGCACAUCAAGAAGGAUACCAAAGUGACUAAAGUGUGGAACUUGAAAGUGAAGUUUGAUGGGAAGACAAUAAAUGAGUACCUAGGCUUUAAUGAGGAAGAUAAAGCAUUGUACAUGGAGAAGGUGACACUUAAUGAGGCAGCUCGUCCGUGGUUGGCAUCAUAUCUGGAUCUCCCAGGCACCACCCAACAUGGUUGAUAGCAGGGGUUCCUAUCUUGAGGAACACCCUAAACUUUGAGGCGAAGGGUUGGGAGACUUUUGUAUACAGCAGGCUAGACCCCACCACCCAUGAAAAUAUCUUGCCGGUCUCCAGGGCAAUAUUAGUGGCAGCUAUUAUGGAAGGCUUCCCGAUCAAUAUCAGGAAUUUCAUGUCUAGGAUGAUCACCAUAGUGGUCAAUAAGGGUGACAGAUCGUAUCCCUUCCCGAACUUCCUCACAAUGUACUUUGAAGAUCAGGAAGUGGAGAAAAGAAACUUUGAUAUGAAGGUGAAACCCAAAAUGGCAUUUUCAUGGUACAACCUCAAGUGUACGGACAACCCCAAAGCUAAGGGAUCCAAGGGCAAAGCCACUACUUCUACUGGUCAGUCUAAAGAGCCAGCAAUGGUAGUCACUCCUUCACUGCCUCCCACUUCCAUACCAGAGCCUGCCCCGGACUAUCUACUUCUACUCCUCUAGAUAUUCCAUCCUCUUCACCAUACCCAUUGACUGCCCAUAGAUUGAGCCAAACACUCUCCAGUAUCAAUAACUGGAUGCAGGCAGCAACUUCUAAACUAUCUGUGCUAUCUAGUUCAGUGGCAGCCCAGUCAAUGCCCCCAAAGCCGCAGGUGCCAGCUUUAGUAGAGGAUACUCUCAAGGAGAUUCUGAACAACCAGAAAAAGCUCCUUGAUAACCAAAGGCUGAUAAUAGAUGCUCUUGCUGAUCAAGGGAAAACACUUAAAGAGCUAAGCAAAUACACAAAGAAGCUAAAGAAGACGCGAGCAUUGAAGGAGUUGGUUAAGGAAUUUAGGGGAGAAUUGGAGAAGAUGAAGGCAGCUGACAAUUUGUCUUUAGAGCUACUAUUGCAUGAUCAGCCUCCAGCAACUCAGACAGAGCAGGAGAUUGAGAGAGCUCCAAAGAGGAGGAGGAUGAUCCCCCAUGUGGAUGAUGUUGAGAUUGAGUUGGAGGAGAUGGAGGGUGUUGCUUCUGGCCAGCCACAGGCCCCCAGGACAGAUGAUUCAGGUGCCCAGCCACAGGAUCCCGUGCUACCACAAGACCCCACUCAGUAUAUAAAGUUACUCUCAUGUAUAUAUUCAUCCCUUCUUAUGUAUAUUCAUCUAAACCCCCCUUUUGUACAUAUUUAGUUUACUUUCCGCAGUUUACUUCAUAGCUUGUGUUGCAAUUUCCUUAAUAGUAUAGCUUUUUAUUUCAUUUAAUAGCUUCUUUUUUGGUUCGUAGCUUCUUAUUUACAAUUUUGUGUGAUCAAUAAGCCUUUGGUUUUCUUAAUACCACGGUUCUUUCUAAUGGUGGAGUUUGUGUAAACCGGGUGGCUCUUCCCGAUGAUAGAUGGCAUGACAACCUUCUUAAGGGUUUGAGUCUGUUUUUCUUUUUGUUUUUGUGUAAAUAGUAGUUAGUGAGCAAUGGUGCCUCAGGCAAAGCUUCACUUGGUCCUAACACAUUUACCUUUGACCUUAUGGUUAAAAACAAAUUGUUGUGUAUAAGAUGGUGAUAGUUGUAACCUUGAGACUCUUGUGUUGGCUAAACAAUCAUCGAAUGGUUUCUCGGAACCAUGUCUGUUGCUCAAAUCUUAGCUAAGGUUGUUGUGGGACCUCGACUCUGUUUCUUUAGCAAUCCUAUAGCUUGUGUGGUGAGGUAUUGAUUUGCAAGUCCAAGUCCUGUGCCAAUAAGUCAAGAACUUGCCCUGAAUGUUUGUCUAGGCGAAAUCCUAAGUGUAGCUCGACUUGAGAAGUGAUUAUAAGCUCUCACUGAUCCCAAUUGAAACUUGAAAACAUCCAUAGCCUACCAAUGAUGACAUCCUUAGUCAACCCCGUUGAGCCUUAGCCCUUAUUCUUUCAAAAACCAUGAUAUAAACCUUUAUCCAUUCUAAAAUUAUCCUCUCUUGGCACUCUAUCUUUCCUUAGCACAAGGCAAAAUCAUAAGUUUUGGGGGGGGGGGGAGACGAGGAAUGCAAAAGUGAUAAAAGGUAAAAAAUGAAGAAAAGGAAAGGUAAAGAAACAGAAAAAGAAAGAAAAGCCAAAAAUUCAAAAAGAAAAUGAACAAUGUAGAAGAAAUGAAGGGAUUCAACAAAAGCAAAAGAUGAAAGGCAUGGAAAGAUUAGAAAGGAGAAAAAGGAUUGAAAUGAACAAGAAAGAGUGACAGUGUGCUUCUCUAGACCCUAAAGAAGAAGUAAAUGACUCAAAGAGUCAAGAAAAUAUGUGCCAAAAUGAAGCAAAUGAAGUGCUUAAGGGAAGAUGAAACCUUCUUAGACCAAUAUAUCCUACCUGAACCAAAAGCCUUCAUUAAAUUCCUACAAAAGCCCUAUAUGAUCUUGAGUUGAGUGAGCUUACAUUAGUGGUGACUCACAUAAGGGGCAAGCUUAUGGUACUUAGACCCGGACUUGUGACCUUCCUUUGAGAGAGGUGAGUGUAUUUUCUACAAUCCUCGUUCGGAAUUAUACAAUCUAAAAGUGAGGUUUGCUUAUGGAGAGUUGAGGAGUAUGAGUUUGGGUUCCACAGCGACCAAUGUAACAGAAAGAGUUUCCUUGAUGAGUUGAGUCAACUCUUGAUGCUUUUGUGUCGCACUAUAGCCAUGGUGCUAAAAAGUUGUGUAUUGUUGAUAAUGCAUUUGAAUUGAGGGUAAUUGUUAGUCCCAAUUGAUUCUUAAUGAGGUUACUUUAGGACAGCUAAAUUUUCCUUUCUUUUAUCUUAAGGAGGUGGGAAUUACUUUGUUUGCUUGAGGACAAGCAAAAGCUUAAGUUUGGGAGAGUUGAUACCUAGGGAUUCUAAUCUAGUUUAUGCUCCUUUUUGCUUGAGUUUUGGACUAAUAUGUGUACAAGUAUUCCUCAAAAGCUAACUUGUUGUGCUUGUUUGCAGUGUUUGGUAAAAGGGACAAGGAUGUCAUAACUAGCUAAAAAAAGGAGUGAAACCUGCACAAGUUCAAAACCAAGUCAAAGCAGCGUUACAACGAAAAAUCCAUCGCGGAUGCAGAAGACCCACCAUGACCGCGGUCCUUUUAUCGCGGUCCGUGGUGGCAAGGAUUUAGAGAUUUGUCAUUUUUGGAAUUCAAGCUACCGCGGUCCGUGGUGAUAUUAUGCGGCAGCGGUGCCUCCACCGCGACAACGGUCAGUUUACCGCGGUCCGCGGAGAAGGAGUUCAGAGAACCUGUAGUUGAGACAAAUAUUGAAGACUCCGCGAUAGAUUUUAUGCGGCCGCGAUAGCCUCACCGCUGCACCGCUCCAUUUUUCGCUGUCAGCGGUACCUCCGUUAGGGGCAUUUUUGUCCGAAAAAUUUAGCUGUGUAUAAAUACUUUCUUUUCAGAUUUUUAGGUCAUCUUACGUUAGCUGAGCACGUGAAGCGCCGUUUUUGUCUAUUUUGAGUAAUUUUGUAGAUUACUUAGCAAUUAAUCUUAGUCUCUUAUCUUAUAAUUACAAUUUAUGUAUUAUUCUUCAUCUCAAUAUAUGAUUUCUUCUUCAAUUAUGAGUAUCUAAACCCAUUAGCUAGGGUUGUGGCUCAACCCUAGUAUGAGUAUUUAAUGGGUUUCUUGUUUUAGGGCUUAGAUGCUUAUGGGUGAUGUAUAUUUGGCCUGGUUUAUGCUUUCUAUGUUGAAUUAGUGGUUGCAAACACUNNNNNNNNNNNNNNNNNNAUAUCCCCAAUUAAAGCGUUAAACCUAGAGAUAGUAAUACCCGACUUGAACCAAUAUUGUUUGCACAAAAAGAACACCCAAUUGGGCUUGAGAAAGCCAAUUACGGAAAAGUCACUCAAACUACCGAGAUGUAUAGAGUGAGUAGUUUCGUGUAUUGGCUAUAUCACGAUCCCAACUAUAACAUUAUUGCCCUAAGUUUGAGAUCCCGUUAGAUACUCAUCUAGGAGAAAGUCACUUCCCUAGUACCUCUUUACCCAUUUAGAAAACCCUAAAAAAAUAUCCAUUUAGCUUAAUUUCUUGCAUCAAUAGUAUUAAAUUUAGAAGUAACAAACAAACAAGAAUAAUUGGAAGUGCAAUCAAAAGCACUACACAUUGCUAUAUUUGAUAGGAAUCCAACUCCAAAUAUAUCUAGCUCCAUGUGGAUUCGAUCCCGACCUUCUCGGGUAAAAGCUACAUCGACUACUCUUGCCACUCUGUAGUGGUAUAGGGUUGGACUCGAUCAGUAAUCAUCAACCACGACACCUUUUCCCCUCUCUGCGACUGAAGUAGAGGCGCGAUUCGGCCUGGAUGAUGAAGGACCGCCCAAGACAAUGACGACAGUAUUAGGGAUAUAUCUCUCUGCCACACUAGUCUGUUGAUCGCUUACGACAGGCACAACCUCUACUAUCGGGUUGACCUCUACAACCAGGUUAGCACCACUGUAAACUUCAGACACCGCCAAGGGAGGGUCGCCCCCUAAAGAUGCUUCAAUUGGAGGAGCCACUUCUAACUUCACUCAUCGUCUCUUCGACGAGCCCUCUCCACUAUUAUCACGGGAAGAUUCGCCCAUUGAACGGACGGUAGGAGCCGGAGUCUCAGGUCGAGGAGUUGCCUCCGUGGGCACGGCCCCGGUCGUAGGAGCAGAUUGGGUAGUAGACCUCGAUGUAGGCCGGUAGCAGCCCUUGGCGCGGGCCGGGUAGGAGGUUCCAGUUGACGGAACGCAAGCAGAAGGGCCCUCGCCCUUCGCACCCUUCUUGUCAGCAAAGAAAGACAUUCAUACUAUGACGAAAUCGAACUAUAAGGCAAAGAAACAACAUUUGUAGCGGGCCAACUCACCAAUAAGAGGCUUACGCCCAUAUCUUUCAUAGAAGGAUGCCCACUAGCGAACCCCCAUUGUAUGGGGAAGAAUGGCAUUUACCCACUCACGGAUGUCGUUGACUGGCGGGGGAGGCAGUCUUUGGAUCCGAAAGUAAAAACAAAUUAGCAAUGUCACCUAAAGAAGAACGAUCGACCAUACCUCGAGAGGACACACAAAAUUAACAAAGGAAAACUUACGUGCGAAGUUCCACGUCUCAGGGAACCCUGCUGAGUCCGCAACAAGGUGCUCCGUCUGCACAUAAAAAUAGCUUUCCCAGAAGCGGUGAUUAUCCUUAUCGUCCAUCUUCACCACCAAACUCUUUAUUCCUCGAUGGUGCAUGUGGAUCAUCGUGCCUCAAAUAAAUUGAGGGGCAAAAACAUUAAAAGCUUGUAUGUGUACGGCGAGCUCCACAUACUUGAGAAGCAUGAUGAAGAGCUUGUAUGUGUACGGUAAAAGCUGACCCAGGCACAUUUCGUAGAAGCGGCAGGAAUCUAUCACUAGAGAGGGCAGAGGAAGCGUAUACCCGACAACAAAAGGAUACGCAUAAAAUGCGCAAUACCCUGGGCAGUGCAAAUGUACAAUGUCCGUCCCCAUUACUGGCACCAUUUUGAUAUGGCUUGGAAUUCACCAUCUAUCUUAAGCGCAACUAUCGCCGCUUCAUCAAUGGUAGAGGGUACAGGUUUCGAUUCCUUUCCCGCAAGGCUUUUGAAGUCAGUCCAUAAUUUCCCCGGACGGGGCAGUAUCUCAGCCACCGUUGGAGCUCCCUCACAUUCUGCCUCCUCCACCCCCUCUCCAAGAGGAGAUGCAUAAUUUUCUGGCACCGGAGAUUCGGCGGACUUGUCAGUCUGGGAAGAAGAACCAGCCAUUUCCCUAAACUUGAUCGACAUAAACAAGGGUGAUGGAAGAAAAGAGAGGAUGUUCACGUGAAAUUCUAACGAAAGAAGAAGUAUGAAAUACUGAAGAAAGUGGAGGUUUGCAAAAUUCUCAGAUGAACGAAAAGCGUAACAAUCGAAUGGUGGGUUCCCCUAUUUAUAGGAACGCAAAUGUCCUGAGCGGGAAACCCAAGAGCCGCCAACCAAAAAACUGAAAGGGCAUAGGAAACGAUACGGUGCCUGGGAAACGUGUGCCAUAAUGAAGCAUAAUAGGUAGUCACGAUGUUUCGGAUCAACGCAACAAUUCAGCUCCGCACUAACGCAACGGUUCGAUGGUACCAUUGAAGCGUCAUGUCACCACCUCGACCUAAGGAUCUUGUUCAACGCGUAAUGUUCAUAUUUCUCCUAACUUUUGAAUCAACAAAGUCCGCCCGUUUAGCUCUCCAAGAGGCGACCUCGACGGAUAGAGGGACUAACUGUAUAGGUCAAAAUCUGGCAUAAGAUGGUUGUUCUUACAAGGAAUGAUAAGGGGCCGACCAAGCCGUAAUCACGCCCACGAGGCAUGAUAGUAAAGAGCACCUCGGCCAUUGCCGGGGUCAAAUCGUCGAAAAGCUUACAUCGUAGAAUGAGCGUGAUGUUUGGACGAGCGAUGAGGGGCAUAGUCAUAAGAAAGCACGCCGGUCAAAGACCAUUGAAUAAAAAAGAAAAUAGCUAAUAUAUAUCUAUAUGGGGAGCUGAGACCAGACAAGGGGGAGUGUGGCUAGCCAUGAUGAGGGAAUCAACAAAGGAAAAUCUCUCUCUCAUCAAUAGCUCCUUCUCUUCCUCUCCAUUGCUUCCAUGAUUGUGGUGCAAGUCUGUCUUAUAUGUAAGCUUAUCAUUCACAUCUAAUGUAUGAUCAUUAUAUCAAGAAAUACUACAUAUUCAUGUUCUUCUUUGAUUUUCGUAUCUUAUAUAUUUAAAUCUAGGAUUAAUUAUGUUUGGCUAAGAUUUACCUUCCAUAUCUCCAAUAAUUAGUUCGACAAAAGGGUCUUAUACUUUUUGGUCAAACACCAUUAACUCGUAUUCUCGAUUUCAAACCUCUUACUUAGAAAACUCAGUUUUAGUUUAAGUCACUUCAUUAAUCAUAUUGCUACACUACAUUAGGGUUAAAUGCUAAAAGGAGGAGAGAGCAAAGGCUAAAUACGCAGAACGUGGCAAAUCAAACUUGUCGUAAAAGGACACCUCAACCGAGAUUAGGAAAGUCAAAAUCUUUAAAAAGUAAAAACAUUUAAUGAAAAAGAUUCCAGCGAAUCAGAGACAUUUUGAUGAUUUCUAGCUAUUGCUAGUGUAAAAGGGCAAAGGGCAGCCCGACGCAUAAAGUAUUCCACGUUUACGGAGGAUUAGAGGAAAAUUCACACUCUGAAGGCCCUAAUGCAAGAAUUAAUAACUGCUUCCACGGCUCGAACUCUUGACCUAUGAGAUAUGGAUCACGCGGAGAUAACUUGAUUGUUGCUCAAAGGCCCCCCUUCUUUCUAUUGCUGGUCAACUGCAAAUAAAUUUCCACCACCCAAGCUAUUUUUUUGUUCUUCAACCACUUCACCUUAAAUCGAGUCAAAACUUUAUAUAUUUAAAAAAUUGUUAAAUGAAAAUGUGAAAUUUAUUUCUUACAAGUAAAAAAGUGGAUCAACAUUUUGCUUUGAGUUUUUGUUUUGGGUAAAUAAGCAAUUUUAUUACCAACUAAGAGAAACACAGUGGCUCAAGAAAAAAGGAAAACAACAAAUUGGACUACCCCAGAUUUGCACUCCGACUCUACUCAGUCCACCAUGUCAAAUAUCCUACAAUCCUUACAAGACAGGAUAAAAGUUCAAAGUAUUUAUUCUGGUAUUCAGCUUCCUACACAUACUGAUUUUCACGAAUACCUCUUAGAUGAUCAUCUUUAUAAUUCCUAGAGGUUGUCUUCUUUUGCUCUUAAACACCACUAAAUUCCUCUCUUGCCAGAUAUAAUACAUAGUUGCUCCCAAAGUUAUUCUGUAUAUGGUAGCUAUUGCACUCUCCCCUCUGCGAUUACUUUUAAGCCAUUGCAUUUCCUCAAUCCACUCCAUAACAUUCGUUAAUAUACCUUGCUAUUCCAAUAGCUUCCCCCAUUUAGAUACAACACAUAUGAAGAAUAGAUACUCAAUACUUUCCAAUGUUGCCUGGCAUAAAGGACAUGCCUGAUCCACUAUCAUUCCCCAAUGAGCUAGCCGAUCCUUUGUAUAUAACCUUCUAUGAGCUACCAUAGUCACUAUGACUAGCCAUUUAGGAGAUCCUGGGUUGUUGCAUAUUAAUCUUCUCCAACUAACCUUUGUGUAAUCUCCAAGCAUCUUUAGAUACAUCUGUUUGAUUGAAAAUGAGCAUAGAAUCAUCAAAUCUUCUUUGGUCAUACCAGCCUCCUCAAUAUAUCGCUUAGCUUUAAAAACCUUUUGUAUCAUCCAACAAGCUCGCUUGGGAAAUUUAUCCCAUAGCGGGUCUUCUCUCCCAUAAUAUAUAUUAAUCCACUUCACCCAUAAUAUAUCUUCUUCUUACUCAACUUCCAUAAUAGCUUACACAUAGCCGCUUUAUUCAUAGGUGAAUGUUCAGAAGAUUUAGCCCUACUGCAGUCUUUGUAGACAUGGUUUAUCCCAGACUAGUAAUGCCUUUUUGGAAGCCUCUAUGUUCCCUGUCCAUAGAAAGGUUCUGCAAAUCCUCUCAAUCAAUACAAUAAUCUUCUUUGGUAAUAGAAACAAUUGAGAUCAAUAUAUUUGAAUUGAGAAAAGGACAGACUUUAUUAAUUGCACUCUACCAGCAUAGUAAAGUAAUCUUGAAAUCCAAGAAGUUAUCCUGCCAAUCAUUUUAUCUAUCAAUGGUUGACAUUGUAUAACAGAUAUGUUUAACCAAAAAUAUUUUUUUUGAUCAAAGUCUAAUUUUAGAAGAAAACGGGUUACUGAUAACCAAGUUUUGCUUUACUUUCUCAAUGAUAUCAAAGGAAAAUAACAAGAAUAACUAAGAAAAUAAUUAAUUGCAAAGUCAAAGUAGAAAGUUUCGAGAAAGCAGAAAAGUAAAGUGUAUAUUUCAAUAUUGACUCACAUAUGUCUUUACAAAUAGAAUUUUGUGCCCUUAUAUAGGAAUAUACAACAGUAAUGAGGUUUCCCCUAUAAUUUGGGUUAAUUAUGGGCACUGAUGAUAUUGAUUGCCUAUUAUUUUGGAUUCUUAUAACUGACGCAUUUAUCGAUGUAAAUGCCUUACAUCCAUUCCGAUUCUCCUUCCUUAUUUCCUUCCGGUUCAUGUAUCUUUCUUUUUUUACUAUUUAUUCAUUCCUUGCCAGCUGUUAGGCCCGGUAUCGUCUCGGGGGUAUUCUUUCUCAUGCCUUUUUUUUUCUAUCAAAUAAGAUUUCCACGUGUCGCUAUAUUAUUGUUCCACAUGUUAUGCCAUGUCAGCAGUCUAAUAUUCUACGUGUAGUGCUUUUUCACUACCAAUACAGAUAGUCCCCCCACUUUCUUGAAUAUUCUCUACUGAAUAUUCGGGGAAGUGGAAAGUUUUUUACGGCGGGAAUUCUCUGUCGCCGUUUUCGAAUGUAAUCAUACCCUUUGUUCAUCACUUUUAUUUAAUGAUCAUGACACGUGGCUUUUAUCAACUGGUCCUUCAGUUCUUCAGCGUCUUUUAGGGGUUUCCUACAACCGCAUCAGCCACGAAGUGACGGUUCCAUUAUGACGCUUCAUAAUGACCUCAAUAGUCGUGUCUUCUUAUAAAUACUUCACCCUUUUUUUCGAUUUUCUAAAGCCUUUCCUUCUUUUUCUUGUCUUACUCCUUUAUGCAUCUUUUCUUUGUGUUUCUUUGGUUAAUCAUGUAUUCCCCUGAUCCUCGCAAAGUUGUCAUUGUCGAUGAGUUUGCUUCCUCCAAUGUACCUACUAGAAGUAGAAGAGGUGGUAGAUUGCGUAGCCUUGGUUCUAUUUCUAACCAUGGUUCCCCUUCUCAAAGUAGUGCUGCCAAUCUGUCUUAUUCUAGAACUAGGGCUUCUGCAACCCCAAGAUAUUCUUCUAAAGAUAAAGAUUUAACUGAAACUCUACGUGAACCCACUGUUGAUGAAAUUGUUCAUCAAGAGCUAUCCUUUGUGACUGAUAGUGAAUCCAUGAAGAGUCAACCUUCUUCCAUGGCUGCUUCUCUUGAUCAUUUUGAUUGUUACCCAACUCUGAUUACUAUUGGUAUUCUCGCUCUUGUUUGAAGAUAAUGUAAUUAGAGACCUGACUUCCCAAUUUUAGUUCCUGGUAUCAACUAAAGAAUAACUUCAUACCAAACUGGCUAUUCCUUCGUUUAUACAUAUCCUUUUACCUUAGGCUUUAAACCUCCUAUUGACGUAGUAAUUAUUGAGUUCUAUCGUUACUUCAAUGUGAGUUUAGGACAGAUAGGUCCUAUUAUUUGGAGAGCUUUUGCAUGCCUCCGUUAUUUGUCAAACUUGGCUUCUAUGUCUUUUACUUUUCGUCAUCUACUCCAUCUUUACUCCCCUAAACUAUUUCGUGAAGAAAUUUUUUCCCUUGUGGCCAAAAGUAAAAUAGUAUUAGUUAGCCCAAAGGAUGAUAGAGAUCGAGGCUGGUAUGCUCGCUUCAUUGCUGCUCCCACUAGUGCUUUGGCGGGUAAAGAAAUAUGCCUUUUCUAGAAAAGUAGAAUUUUGCACGUAAGUAUUUACAUCUUAUCUUUAUCCUUUCUCAAAAAUGAUUCUCAUGUGUACUCGUGCCUACUUUUCCAACAACUAUGGAAGUUUUUGAGGAGAUUCCCAACUUCCGUUCUUGGGUAGGAAAGUUACUAUCUGUUGCCCCUGGAGAGAAGAUCUUGGAAGUAUCUCUCGCAGAGAUUUGGGUGGAAAGUUAAGACACACAAUACUUUUUCCCGCUUAGUAUUCUUCUUUUUCUCUUUUUCUUAUUUAAGAGUUUCUUACCAUGACUUUUUUCUUUUGUUAGGAUUUCCUAUUCGUGGUGUCAGUCCCCCUUCUGUUUCAUCUGCAAGACUUACACUGAGUCUUGCUCAAGAAAGAAUUCUGAGCUCUUCUUCAAAGAGGAAGGUUGAUGGAGCCCGUGGCUCUGAGGGAGAAGAAGAACCAGAGGAGGUUUCUUUAGUUCGUAGACCUCGAGUUAGGAGGUGCGCUAUUUUCGACGAUGAAACUACCCCUCCUUCAAGCUCAGUUCCUCCCAGGCCUUUAGAUGAACCAGAAAAUGCUCCAUUACUGAUUUCUGAUGAAGAAGUGAACGAUCCCCCUGCUUCUGCUGAACAACUGUUUGUCCAUGGCUUCGAAAGUGAAGAUGCCUUUGAGCCCGUUUCUGAGGAGUUGCGCCUUACCUUUUUUCCACCGUCAGUUCUCGAUUAUCCUCAAGUCCCCUUACCUGAAGUUGCUGCUGAUGCUCCCCCGUGACUGUUUUCACUUCAUAUGUUAUUUCAACUGCUACCGCUUCUUACAUGGAAGUUGAUCCUUUCAGUAUCAAGAAGGUGAUGAAGAAAAUUGUUGUUGAAGUUCCUGAAGGUGGGAAUUUAUUGAAGAAGUCGGGCCAAGCCGACGUGUGGCUGGAGCCUUUACUAGGCCCCAUGGAGAAAGCAAAGUUAGAGAGUCACAGUUCUUUGGCUUGGAUGAAUGAUAUUGUUCAUUCAUCUCUGAAGGUUCGAAUUUUGAUUUUACUCCUUCUUUCUUCCCUUUUCAUUCUAUUAAUAACCUUUUUUCUUCCUUUAUAGAUCAACUUGAUAGGCACAGAGUUCAUGAAAAGAAUCGUCCAUGAUGACUAACAAAUUGCUGAUUCUCGUACUAAAGCUGACAAUUGGAAAGAGCAGUUUGAAAGGUCUUCAACGGUUGAAGGAAGUGUUGGCAGAGGAGAAGGAUGCCUUAGAACAACAAAUGCAUGUGAUCGCUACUGAAUUAGCAAUUGAAAAUUCUUCUUCAAGCCAAGUUGGUAAAGAUAAGGAUAACCUUAAGUCUUCUUUGCUGAGCAGCUUUCAAAGGCAACCGAGGAGAUAAGGAGUCUGAGGGAACUCCUUAACCAAAAAGAGGCUUAUUCAGGAGAGUUCGUUCAAACAUUAACUCAAACUCAAGAAGACCUCCAUGCCUCUACUGAUAAGUUUAAGUUCUUGGAAAGUUCCCUUACUCCUUUGAAGGCAGUUUUUGAUGCUUCUAAAACAAAGAAGGAGGAGUUGAUAACUGAAAUCGAUUAGUGGGAGAGAGAUUAUGAAGCUCUUGAGGAUAAGAUGUCACUUGAAGUAAGUAGAGCUUUUCUGAAUAAUCGCUUCGAGACCUUAAUGGAAGCCAGUCAGGAGGGCUUUGCUCUCAACGCUGAGAUUGCUAAAGCUAAAGAGGCAACCGAAAAAACUCAGCAAAGUCAAGACUUUCCUUCACCUGAAGAUGGAAUUCCCGAGGGUGCUCCUGGUGAAGCUGCUAUUCAAGGCUCUUCUUCUCAAGCUGAUCUCCCUACCUCCGCCAAUGAUACUCCCGUUUUUUAUGUUCCAGUGGAUGAUGACUCCUAGUUUUUCUUGUUUUUUGAUGGUUUUAUUUAGAACUUGUUGAUGGAAAGUUUCCCUUUUUUUUCCUUUUAGAAUAGUGGUUGGUUUGCCCUAUCUUGUUUUAGGGUUUGAAGACAAACGUAUGCCUUUUAAUAUAUAUGUUUCGGCUUUCCUUUCCGCCUAUUUUGAUGUUUGAGUUUUUGUUUCACCCUUUGACAUUUAGUUUUGCAGUAAAAAUGCUUUAUUAUUCCGUGAUUCUGAUAGACACGAAAUUAUAAUAAAAGAGGGCCCUUUUAUAAGCGACACUGAUGAAGAUGACGUAUCUGUAGACAUCAAAAUUCUAAGGGAUCAAGCCAAAUCCUAUAUUAAAGAUACUACAGACUCUUGAAAUCCUAUGAGUCUAUUAGGGUUUCUUGGAGGUUACUCUACCCUAAACCCUAACUCAUACCUAUAUAAAGGAAUACAUAUUUCCUUGAAGAGGUAUCUCAAAAUCCUAUAAAAUCUUGGGAUAUUCACAAAGAGAUUAAAAUAUGGCCGGAUAGUUCUUGACAAUCAAAUAGUUCAAGAAGCUGGAGAUCAAUUAUAUCCCCAGGAGGUCUGCAUCAUCCUACAUUCAAGAAAUAUGCGGCUUAAGCCCUCAAAUCGUAGAGAUAAUCAGGAGAGAAGAAUCAAGGGAUAAUCAGAAUUGUACUCACAAUUGAUUAGUAAAAAUAUUUUUAUCUUAUUUUGUGAUUGCAGUUUAUUUUUCAUAUGUUGAAAAUUAGUUGCAAACAAAUUAGCAAGCCCAGUGGGACUAGCUCUGCCCUUCAUCUCUUCCUCCUGUAAAUCAAAAAGUCCAAGUUUCAAAACCAUUUGUUGCGAUGAUUAAGCACUUCAAGUCUCGUCUUCAAGUUUUGGCAAACCUACACCCCGGCAAACCUUGAAGUAGGGGACAUUUGUAGACAUCAAAAUUCUAAGGUAUCAAGCCAAAUCCUACAUUAAAGAUACUACGGACUCUUGAAAUCCUAUAAUUCUAUUAGGGUUUCUUGGAGGUUACUCUACCCUAAACCCUAACUCACACCUAUAUAAAAGGAUACAUAUUCCCUUGAAGAGGUGCUCAAAAUCCCAUAAACUUUUGGGAUAUUCACAAAUAGAUCAAAAAAUGGCCGGAUAAUUCUUGACAAUCAAAUAGUUCAAGAAGCUGGAGAUAAAAUAUAUCCCCAGGAGGUCUGCAUCAUCCUACAUUCGAGAAAUAUGCGACUUCAGCCCUCUAAUCAUGAAGAUAAUCAGGAGAGAAAAAUCAAGGGAGAAUCAGAAUUGUACUCACAAUUGAUUAGUAAAAAUAUAUUUUGUGAUUGCAGUUUAUUUUUCAUAUGUUGAAAAUCAGUUGCAAACAGCCUCAUCUUCAUAUUGGUGUAAAUAUAUGAAAGAAGUAUAAAAAAGAAAUAAUUUGAGGAAGUCUUAUGCUUUGAACUUUCAAACUUUGUACAUUAUUCUUUGUUUAUGUAAUACAACAGUUACAUCUCUUUCACAAUUGUUCCAUUUACAAUAGGUUCAAGAAUUUUGGGUUUAUAAUUUUGUGACUAAAAACUCAUAAGAACUUGGAGUACAUCUUGGAUCCAUUUGUGUCUUUUUUUUUGAGUUUCUUCAAAGAUUUUUGAAGGCUUGAUUUUUGGCUCUUAGGCUGAUUCAGGCUUGAAUUCCGACAUUUUGUCUUCUUGCCUUUUGUCUCUUCAUAUAUAUAUAGUCCCCCAAUGUUAGAGCUUUGAAGUAUGAAAUCUCGACCACUGGAUCGUUUCUUCCUUUAGUCCAUUCCCUGAAAAGGAAAAUACACAUGGGACUCGAAAGUAUAUAUUUAGAUGACGACUGCUUAACCCCUUUUUUUCCAACAGAAGGGUUGUAACCUAGACUGGGUAUAAUGCGGUAUUCCUCGUGUCUUUUGGGUCUAAUAUCAUCAUUUGGCAAGGGUUAGCUUUUUCCUAUCAUCUAAAAUGGUUAGUAUAUUUAAAAAAAGAACAAAACUAAACCAUAUUCGAAUGAUACCUGACCGGGGGUCCAAAACCUUUGAUUAGAAGUAAUACUUCUUUAAAUGAACAACAUUCCAAUUUGAUGAGAGUACUUUGCAUUCCAUUGUUUCUAGCUCAUACACACCCUUUCCAGCAAUGCCUCGAAUUCUAUAGGUCCUUCCCAAUUUGGACUCAACUUUCCUGCAUUGACAGCUUUUGUCGAUUGAAAAACCUUUUUGAGGAUGAAGUCCCCAAUAUUGAAGUAUCUAAGAUGAGCUUUUUGGUUGUAGUAUCGCUCAAUAGUUUGUUUCUGCGCUGCCAUUCUUAUUAGAGCCGCAUCUCUCCUUUCUUCAAGCAAAUCUAGAUUUAUUCGCAUCUCUUCCUCAUUUGAUUCUUCAGUUGCUUGGGUAUAUCUUGUACUUGGUUUACCUAUUUCCACUGGAAUUAAGGCUUCAGCACCAUACACAAGUGAGAAUGGAGUCUCUCCCACACCUGUUUUUGCUGUCGUUCGAUAAGCCCAUAAGAUUCCUGGUAACAUUUCUGGCUACUUACCUUUUGACUCAUCUAAUCUUUUCUUCAAGUUAUUAAUAAUAACUUUAUUUAUCGAUUCGGCUUGUCCAUUAGCCACAUGAUGGUAAGGUGUUGAAGUUAUCCUUUUAAUCUGCCAACUCUAAAAGAAUUCUGUGAUUUUUGCACCUAUGAAUUGCGGGCCAUUAUCACAUACGAUUUAUUUUGGAACUCCGAAACGACAUACAAUAUUUCGCCAAAUAAAGUCCGUGACUUCCUUCUCCUGCACCUGCUUCUACCCACUUGGUAAAAUAAUCUGUUAAUACUAAUAAAAAUCGUACCUUUCCUUUGGCUUGUGGUAGUGGACCCACAAUAUCCAUCCCAUAUUUCAUAAAAGGCUAUGGUGAAAUAACUGGAUGUAAUAGAUCCGCUGGGCGAUGCAUGUUGUUGCCAUAUCAUUGGCAUUUGUCGCACUUGGCUACAAAACUUUCUGCAUCUUCUUCCAUUUUUGGCCAAUAAUAUCUUGCUCUAACUAAAGUUUUUACCAAGGAUCUUCCUCUUGCAUAAUUUUCAUAGUGUCCCUCAUGUACUUUUCUCAUCACAUAUUCUGUUUGAGAAGGUUCGAGACAUCUUGCUAAAGGCCCUCCGAACAUAUUUCGAUACAGGUUGCUACGAACCAAACAGUAACGGGCAGUUUUUUGUCGAAGUGACUGAGCCUUUUUUCUUGUCUUCAGGUAAAAUCUUGUAUUGUAGAAAAUUAACGAACUCGUUUCUCCAAUCCCAAGUUAAAUUAUUGAAAUUUACCUCAUUUUUAUCCUGAUCGAGUGCCGAAUGAAAAAAAUGUAUUACGGUAGUAUUUUCUUCAUUUGUUACUUCUGCAACAGAUGUAAGAUUAGCCAACGCCUCUGCUUCCGCAUUUUCCUGCCUGGGUAUUUGCACGAUUUUCCAUGAUUUGAAUUGUUUGAUUAAUUCUCGUGCCUUUUUCAAAUAUUGCUGCAUCCGUGCCUCUCUAGCUAUAUAAGUCCCCUGCAUUUGAUUAAGUACAAGUUGUGAGUCACUUGUGAUUAUAAUCUGCUCUAUUCAGAGUUCACAUACCAAUUCCAGACCUGCAAUUACAGCUUUGUAUUCUGCUUCAUUGUUAGUAAUGGGAUGACACUUUAUUGCUUGCCUUAUGGUUUCUCCUGAAGGUGGGAUUAGAACAAUACCUAAACCUGCUCCUUUAACAUUCGAGGAGCCAUCAGUAAAUAGGGUCCAAGAACCCGAAUUAGAUCUGGUGAAUAUUUGCAGUUCUUUUUCUGCUUCAGGAACUAUCCCUGGGCUGAAGUCUGCCACAAAAUCUGCUAAAACAUAUGAUUUUAUUGCAGUUCUAGGUUGGUACACGAUAUCAUAUUCACUGAGUUCUAUAGCCCAUUUGGCUAACCUACCUGAUAGUUCUUGCUUAUACAAUAUAUUCCUUAAGGGGUAAGCAGUCACUACAGAGAUAGGGGUGACAUUAAAAAUAAUGCCUCAAAUUUCUAGAUGCCAUAAUCAAUGGUAAAGAAAGUUUUUAUAAGUGAGGAUAUCGAAUUUCAGUAUCCAAUAAAGAUUUUCUAACAUAAUAGAUCGGAGAUUGUUUACCUUUGUCUUCAUGUACUAAUACUGCACUUACCGCCAUUUCUGAUACAUCGAGAUAGAUGAAUAGCCUUUCUCCAUCCUUUGGUUUAGCCAGUAGCGGUGGAUUUGACAAGUAUGCUUUUAGAUUUUUGAGUGCUUGGUUACAUUCAUAAGUCCACUCAAAUUGGUUUUGCUUUUUUAACACUGAAAAGAACUUAAAACUUUUCUCCAAAGAUUUAGAAAUAAAUAUUCCCAAAGCUGCUAUUCUACCUGUCAACCUCUGCACUUCCUUUUUGCUCGCGAGUAUGUCUGGUAUUUCUUCUAUGGCUUUAAUAUGUGCUGGAUUUACUUCAAUACCUCGAUUAGAAACAAAGAAACCUAAAAACUUACCUGAAGCCAUGCCAAAGGCACAUUUUUCGGGAUUUAACUUCAUAUUGAACUCGCGGAGAAUCUGAAAAGUAUCUGACAAAUGCUGGAUAUGAUCCCCUGCCUGUGCUGGCUUGACUAGCAUGUCAUUGAUGUAGACUUCCAUAGUUUUCCCAGGUGUUCUUGAAACAAUUUUGUUACCAAUUUUUGGUACAUGGCUCCAGCAUUCUUUAGUCCGAAAGGCAUGACUUUAUAACAGUAAGUUCCCUUGUCUGUGAUAAAGGAAGUUUUUUCCUCAUCUAAAGGAUCUAUCUUUAUCUGAUUAUAUUCUGAAUAGGCAUCUAAAAAACUCAACAACUCAUAUCCUGUAGUAGAAUUGAUUAGUUGAUCUAUGUGCGGUAAAGGAAAUGAGUCUUUAGGACACGCCUUAUUUAAGUUAGUAUAAUCCACACAAACUCGCCAUUUCCCAUUCUUUUUUGGUACUACUAUAGUAUAAGCUAGCCAGUUAGUAUAUUUUACCUCUCGUAUUGACCCAUCUUUUAAAAUUUUUUGUACUUCAUCCUAGACCACCUGAUUUUUUAAGGAUCCUUACUUCCUUUUCUUCUGUUUGAUAGGUGGAUAUGAUGGAUCUUCAUUUAGCUUGUGGGUUAUAACCUCCGGUGGUAUACUUUUCAUAUCUGAAUGUGACCAAGCAAAGCAAUCUGCGUUAGCUUGUAAAAAUUUAACAAGUUUACCUUUCAUUUCUGGGCUUAGCUUCAUUCCAAUAUAAACUUUUCUAUCUGGCCACUGCUCAGAAAGUGUGAUAGCCUUAAGUUCUUCAAUUGUUGUUUUGAUGUUUUCAUUCUCUUCUGGUUCUUGAAUAACAUCAGGUCUUGAAUCUAUAUCCGUUUGUCCACUUUCAGUUGAGGUUUGUGCUGUUAUGUCCUCAACUAAAUUCUAUAGUUGCUAUUUCUUAUCUGCACCAUAGUUUUCUAUGCUUGAAUCCGUCACUGAAUUGAUGCUUCUAGAAGUUUGCUGAUCUCCGCGGAUUUGUCUAAUCCCCCACUGUGAAGGGAACUUAAUAACUUUGUGUAAUGUAUAUGGAACAUCAUCCAUAUCAUGAAUCCAAGGUCUGCCAAGAAUCAUGUAAUAUGCCAUGUCCGUAUCUAUUACCUGGAAUUUUGUAUCUUUGACAACUCCUUCUGCGAAUGUGGAAACCACUAUUUCCCCUUUUGUAACAAUGCUUGAAUUGUCGAAUCUAGAUAAGGUAUGUGUUUUGGGAACCAUCUUGUCAUCAACUUGCAUCUCGUUUACCACCCUCAGAAGAAUGAUGUUUACAGAGCUACCUGGAUCAAUCAAAACUCAUUUCACAUUAGUAUCAUGUACAAGUAAAGAUAUUAUCAGUGCAUCGUUGUGAGGGAUUAUCAUGCCAUCUGCAUUUGUAUCAUCAAACAUUAUACUGUCUUCUUCCAAAACUUGGUGUACUCGCAUUCCAUGGGCAACCGUGACUUUUGAUGUCUUUUUUGCAGUCGUAUAUGUCACACCAUUGACCUCCUCUCCUCCGCUUAUCACAUUAACCGUCCUUUUUGGUGAUGGAGUUUUUGGAGGCUCUUGUCUAUUCUUCAUAUACGUUUGCUUACCCUUCUCACUGAACAAGUCAGUUAAAUAACCUUGUUUAACAAAUGCUCUAUUUCACCUUGUAGCAAUCUACAAUAUGUUGUUUUAUGACCAUGGUCAUUAUGAAACUCAUACCAGAAAUCUGGAUUUCUUUUGCUAGGGUUUGAUCUCAUUUCUUUUGGCCACCGUACCUUAUUUCCCAUACUUCUUAAAAUAGCUACCAACUCAGAAGUGCUAAUAUUGAAACUGUAAUCACCAAUCUUUGCCUUUAUAUUAACAUUGUUGUCUCGCGCAUCUCACUCUUUUCCGAACAUGGAUGACGAACCCGCGUCUCUAUCCCUUGAUCUAGAGUCAUACCUCUUGUUUAGAGCGCAAAUCCCUUCUUAUUGGUCCCAUGUAAGGUUCAUACCUGUUCUUACCGGACCUUUUUCGGUUUCUGGUCGUCUCAAACUUUUUCUUUCAUCACCCCUUUCCCGAGUGAUAGUGUCUUCUUCUAUCCGCAGCUUUGGUUGUACCUGUUGUACAUAUCAUUCCAGGUUGCAGCAGGGAAUUCUCGUAAGCUUUCAUUGAGUCUCCUCGUGGCUUCUAAGCUUUUUUCAUUUAAGUUACUUGCAAACGCCAUGGCCGCCCAAUUAUCAGGUACCCACGGUAACAUCAUCCUUUCACGUUGAAAUCAAUCCACUAAAUUCUCUGAGUAGCUCCGUAUUGCCUUAUUUUAUUUUGAAGAUAUCUUCCAUCCUCUUUUUAACUUAUUGAGCUCCCUAGUGUGCUUUUAUAGAUGAAUCUGCAAGCUCAGCAAAAGAAUCAAUAAAAUUUUCUGAUAAAAGAGAAUAUCAUGUUAGUGCUCCUUUCGAAAGUGUUUCGCCAAAUUUUUUGACCACCACUGACUCGAUUUCUUGCUUGGUUAAAUAAUUUCCUUUCACGCCAGUUGUAAACACGGUUACAUGAUCUCGUGGGUUGGUUGUUCUAUCAUACUUUAAAAUAUCGGGUAUUUUAAACUUCUUUGGAAUCGACAAGGGAGCUGCACUUGGCUUCUAGGGCUGUUGUGAAUAUUUGUCAAUAUCUACUCCUUUAAUCACAGGAGGCACACCAGGUAUUUGUUCUAUGCGAUCAGUUUGCUCCUUGAGCUACUUCUGCAAAGUUAGUACUAAACUUUGUAAAUCGGAAUUAUUUGGUGUACCUGACCUUCCAUCAUGAGAUUUGCUGGGAGUUCCUCCGCUUCCUUAAUUAGCAAGUCCUGAGCGUGAGUUUUCUAUAGUGACGGUAUUGUUUGGAGGAGAAGUUGGUGGCGUAGUUGGCAAACCACUGACGAAAGCUUAAAGGGCAUUGUUGACAUGUUAUGCAAUUAGCUGUUUUAAUGCACCCUCUGUUGUUUGUUCGUCCCCUUGUUGAUCAUUCGUAUGUGAUGUUAAUCUUUGAGGUGUCCCCUUCCGGCACUGUCGUGGUGAAUCUUGUGGUGAAGGGAUUGGUGGAGUUCCUCCCGCUGUUGGUUUAGUUGGUUAUUGUUGUUGGCAGUUGAUAUGAUUGUUUUGACAGAAAAGUGAAUUUGGAGAGUGAAAAGAUUAUCAUAUUUCCGACAACAGAAUCAAUUUAUUUAACCAAAAAUAUACUUUUUGAUCAAAGUCUAAUUUUAGAAGAAAACGGGUUACUGAUAACCAAGUUUUGCUUCACUUUCUCAACGAUAUCAAAGGAAAAUAACAAGAAUAACUAAGGAAAUAAUUGAUUGCAAAGUCAAAGUAGAGAGUUUCGAGAAAGCAGAAAAGUAAAGUGUGUAUUUCAAUAUUGACUCAGAUCUGUCUUUACAAAUAGAAUUGUGUGUCCUUAUAUAGGAAUAUACAAUAGUAGCGGUUUCCCUCCCAUAAUUUGGGCUAAUUAUGGGCAUUAAUGAUAUUGAUUACCCAUUAUUUUGAAUUCUUAUAACUGACGCAUUUAUUGAUUUAAAUGCCGUAUAUCUAUACUGAUUUUCCUUCCGGUUCAUGUAUCUUUCCUUCUUUUUACUAUUUAUUCAUUCCUUACCAGCUGUUAGGCUCGAUACCAUCUCGUGGGUAUUCUUUCCCAUGCCUUUUCUUUUUUUAUCAAAUAAGAUUGCAACGUGUCACUAUAUUAUUAUUCCACGCGUUAUGUCAUGUCAACAAUCUAAUAUUCCAGAUGUAGUACUUUUUCACCACCAAUACAAGAUAAUCUUUUAGAGCUUAGUGGUACCCUAGAUACCUCAUUGAUAGUUCUCCUUUAUUGAUCCCUACAAGAUGCAGUAUUUGCUCCUGCACAUUAUUACUCACACCUCCAAAGUAAAUUGAGCUCUUAAGGAGAUUUGCAUUUAACCCAGAAGCUUGUGAGAAUAGUGUAACGCAAUCAAACAAUAGAUGCAUUGAACAUCUCCUCUGCUAAAAAAAGUAGUGUAACGCAAUCAAACAAUAGAUGCAUUGAUUGAACAUCUCCUCUGCUAAAAAAAAGUAGGUCGUUUGCAAAACUUAGCUGCGCAAUCUUCAUUUUUGGCAUACUUAGGAUGAUACUUGAAUUCAGGCUAAUGCUGCAGUAUUUUCAAUAAUCGACUUAAUUAAGUACUUCAUUGCCAGGUGACAUUGGGUCACCUUGCCUUAGGUGCUUUAAGGCUUUUGUAUGUACAAUAUUUGAACUUCUAUAUGUAUAUGCAUAUAAAAUAUAGUAAUAAUUUAGAUAUAGAACGAGUCGCUUACGAAUAAUUAAAAAAUAAAAGUUGAAUACAAUAAUAUCCACUUCUUGUUUUUUUUUUUUUUUGACUUUUGACUUUUGACGGCACCAUUCCAAAAGCUUUACAAAUAGAACUAGAAAAUAUGAAAAAUUUCCUUAAUAUAUUUAACUAAGUUAAGGUUGAUGCUAGAACUCUUUUUCCGAAAAAGCAAAAAGAUUUACUGAUAUUUCCGUCCUAACUCUCAGGAAACUAGAAUGUUAGGAAAAGGAAAAGUAUAAACUAUUGCCCUACAUAUUUAUAGGCUGGAAAUAGGGUUUGCUUAGAAAGGAGGGGCCAUGGCUACAGCCGCCGUCUACGAGGAGAAGAACAUGAAUUAUUUGUGGAAAAAACCAUCAAUUCCCCAAGAAGUAAUUAUUGAUAUAUUCUCAUGACUUCCUGUUAAAUUUUUAAUGCGUUUCGGAUGCGUUUCCAAAAUUUUUAACUUACUUGUUUGUUUUUCUUUUCAAUGUUUCUAUAUUGUUGGAUAUUUUACUAUGCCUAAUAAUAUUGAGGAAACAAAACAAGAAUUUUAAUUCUGAUGUCCCUUUCACAAGGGCAAAGAGAAUAAUGUUUUCUUAUGGUGUUCAAAGCUUUUUAAUGGGAUUAAUUAUGGUAAAAUACAUAGUUUACCCAUCGACCUUGUACCCAAAUUCCUCUUACACACCUGUUCACCCCGGGGAUAAUAUUACACACUCAAUAUUUCAAAAGUGUGUCAAUAACACACCACUUUUGACCUGUCCAAGUAAUAGUCUAUGCUGUGUAUCACAUGCGCGUCUCUAAAUUAAAAGGACAUUUUUAAUCACCCAACCCUUUUAAAGAUCCGACCCACUCAAAUAAAAAACCCAACAAUCAGUGCACCACCUUCCCCACUGUUGCACCACCUUCUCCACCAUUGCAAACCCUUCUUCUUUGUAAAAAAUAAAUAAAAAUUCUGCCACAGUUACUACAAAAAUACUGAUUGUAACACCCAAAUAGAUACACACAAAUAACAUUUUCAAAAAAACUUCACUAGCCAGAAUUUCGCCUGAAACUCCAUCUCCGACUAACCCUUCAUUUUGGUAAUUUUUUUUUUACAAAACUCAAUAAUAGUGAGCCAGAAGAAAAUAACAAAAAGGAAAUUUUUUAGUUCUUUAGUUGGCACAAUUGAAAGAACCAAAAAGACCACUUUAUCGACAAAAUUCCAAAACAAGAAAUUGAAAAUUUAAUUUCUUCUGCAAUUCUGCCCUUCUCAGUGACAUAACUACCACCAAGAAAUUUUCGGAGAAAUUUCGAAUCUUGAGCAACAACAAAAAAAUGGAAUAGGAGAAGGUUGAAUCGGGGAAGAAGACGAAAUAGGGGGAGGGGAGACGAAACCUAUGAGGUGGGGAACUAGGAAGAAGACGCGGGGUAGGGGGUUGGGGCGAGGAAGAAGACAAGAGUGGGAGGGGUUAUUUUUUAUUUUUUAAAAUUUGUUAAUUGGCAUAAAAAGGAAAAAAACUUAAAAAUUAGACACAUGAAUUCUUUAUAAACCUUCUGACAUGAAAUUCUUAGCAUUACGCGCCUGUGUUAUGUGAAAAAUACACAGGUGCCACGUAGUUAAAGUGGUGUGUUAUUGACACACUUGUUUGAGUGUGUAAUAUUAUCCCCGUAAUGAACAUGUGUGUAAGAGGGAUUUGGGUACAAGGUAGAUGGGUAAACUAUGUAUUUUGCCAUUAAUUAUUCUACCUUUUAUAUGGGAUAGUUAAUCCCAUCAUUUUAGUGUAAAAGUUAUUGCGAGAUUAGCUAAUAUCCCAAACCAAAUAUGAACUUUAUCCCUAAAUUAUUAUUUUUAUCUCAUAUACCAUACGACUAAGAGUUGUGAUGGGAGUGUUAUAAGAGCAAUAAUGUGAAAGUGUGAUAACCCAAAACUUUUAAGAAAUUUUUACAUUCCUAUACACUAUAUGAAAUUAUAUUACCCUCCCUACUCAAGUUUUACUAUAAUUACAUUUUAUAUACCCAAUUACAAUUUAUGUACAUUUAAAGGGAAUUAAUGAUAAUAAUUAGUGUCCUAAAAUUACUCUAACAUAUCUUCCACGCCCCCAUGUUUCUCUCUCCACAUCCCACCCCUUCCCAACGUAUCUUGCACAAGAGAACAACAAUUCCACCAUUGACAACCAUUAAAAUGCUUUGAAGCUUUGAGUUCGAAUUUGGGNNNNNNNNNNNNNNNNNNNNNNNNNNNNNNNNNNNNNNNNNNNNNNNNNNNNNNNNNNNNNNNNNNNNNNNNNNNNNNNNNNNNNNNNNNNNNNNNNNNNNNNNNNNNNNNNNNNNNNNNNNNNNNNNNNNNNNNNNNNNNNNNNNNNNNNNNNNNNNNNNNNNNNNNNNNNNNNNNNNNNNNNNNNNNNNNNNNNNNNNNNNNNNNNNNNNNNNNNNNNNNNNNNNNNNNNNNNNNNNNNNNNNNNNNNNNNNNNNNNNNNNNNNNNNNNNNNNNNNNNNNNNNNNNNNNNNNNNNNNNNNNNNNNNNNNNNNNNNNNNNNNNNNNNNNNNNNNNNNNNNNNNNNNNNNNNNNNNNNNNNNNNNNNNNNNNNNNNNNNNNNNNNNNNNNNNNNNNNNNNNNNNNNNNNNNNNNNNNNNNNNNNNNNNNNNNNNNNNNNNNNNNNNNNNNNNNNNNNNNNNNNNNNNNNNNNNNNNNNNNNNNNNNNNNNNNNNNNNNNNNNNNNNNNNNNNNNNNNNNNNNNNNNNNNNNNNNNNNNNNNNNNNNNNNNNNNNNNNNNNNNNNNNNNNNNNNNNNNNNNNNNNNNNNNNNNNNNNNNNNNNNNNNNNNNNNNNNNNNNNNNNNNNNNNNNNNNNNNNNNNNNNNNNNNNNNNNNNNNNNNNNNNNNNNNNNNNNNNNNNNNNNNNNNNNNNNNNNNNNNNNNNNNNNNNNNNNNNNNNNNNNNNNNNNNNNNNNNNNNNNNNNNNNNNNNNNNNNNNNNNNNNNNNNNNNNNNNNNNNNNNNNNNNNNNNNNNNNNNNNNNNNNNNNNNNNNNNNNNNNNNNNNNNNNNNNNNNNNNNNNNNNNNNNNNNNNNNNNNNNNNNNNNNNUAAGCUUUGAAUUCGAAUUUUUAAAAAUCAUUAUUUGUUUGGAUUGGGUGUUGUUGAAAAUAAUUGAGAAUACGGUUUGGGGUUUAUAUCUCAAUUUUGAGGGGGUUUGGUGAAGAUUAGACUUGGUUUUGGCUGAAUUUAAAAUUAAAAUUCGAAAAAGAAGAUGAAGAAGACAUGACAUACAUUAUACUGCAGAAAUUGUAGUAAAAUUGUAGAAAAAUUAUAUUCUGUUGUAUAUAUAUUUUUCUUUUAUUUAUUUAACUAUUGUAUGAAAGUUGAACAACAUUGUAAAAAUUAUAUUUAAGUUGUAUGAUAUUGUAGUUGUAUAUAACUGAGUAGAAAUAAUGUAUAAAAAUUAUAGAUAAGUUGUAAAUAAGUUGUAUAAUAUAUAAUUAGCUGUAUGAAAUUUGUUUUUACUAUGUAUAAAUCAGAUACAAAAUAUACAAAAGACAUAUUGUAUAAAAUUUGUAUUUAAGUUGUAUGUUAUUGUAGUUGUAUUUAACUGGGUAGAAAUAAUGUGUGAAAGUUGUAGAUAUAUUGUAUAAUAUACAAUUAGUUGUAUGAAAUUUAUUUUUACUAUGUAUAAAUUAGAUAAAUAUACAAAAGACAUAUUGUAUAAAAUUUGUAUAAAAAUUAUAUUUAAGUGGUAUUAUAUUGUAGUUGUAUAUAACUGGGAGGCGAGAGAGACUUUGGCAAAGGUGUCUUCAUCGCAUGUUAUUGGGAAUGAAGAAUAAUAUCACUGGUUCCUAUAGAGUUGGCAAACGUUAAAAUUCCAGCUUUAGGGAUUCCUGCGACUCUCUCACGCCUUUGAAUGCAACAAGUGAACUAGUUGCCCAUACCCACAAAAUUUUAAUCAAAAUAUAGAUAAAAUUGGCUCUUUGUCCUCCAUAUCUACUCCAGAUCUAAAGUAAAAAAUACAUAUAUUAAAGUUUUAUUUUAUUAAUUAACGUUUUGAUUGUACCAAUCUCAAAUCAAGUUAAGAAGCUUAGUUUGUUGUAGGAUCUUAAUAUAAAUUAAAUUUUGGACCAACUAAUUAAGGAUUUAAUUUUUUUAUGCUACUGCAUCAUUGUUUUAUUGUGAAUAACUACUCUAACCUGAAAGUGACGCCUAUCAUCAUUAACUGUUUGUUUGAAAAAGAGUUAGUGUGCCAAGAUAGAGUUUAAACUAAUUGCUGAUGGGUAUCUUGUCCAUUUCUUAGUGGAUUGCUGCUAAAAAGAGUGGCAAUUAUUUGCAUUCUAUUUGGUAUUAUAUGGAAGUAUCUGACUUUUAAUUUGUAUUGUAGGAAUUCGAGAAAAUGAAGGAGAAAGAUAGAAUCUGGAGAGAAGAGAGAAGAGGGGAGAAAAAAAGGAAAAGGGUGUAACUAAAUCCCUUAAUUGAAGACACUAAUAAUGGAUUGAGACCCUUUUAAGGUGGAAUGUAUAUAUUUUGUAAUUAAAACUUGUGUAGGUAGGGUAAUUUACUAAACAUGAACAUUUAGGGUAAUAAAGUUUCUAAUAGUGUAUAAAAAUGAAAAAAUCCCAAACUUUAAUAGUGCCUUUGGGCCAUUUGAUAUCUCCACCAGAAAGAGGUUUAACCCAUAAGCAAAUAAAUCAAAAAUAUAAAAAUGAAUUAUUUAUAAAACAAAAAAUCAAAAUGAAAUCCUAAACGUAUUAGAACCAAAAGACCCGAACGGUUAAUUAUUCUUGAGAUAGAAAGGAAGUGAAAAUAUAUUGUGUUGGGAAUUAACUUUGUUAGAUCGCCAUUAAUUAUCUAAUAUCGGGAUCAUUUGAUAUGGUGUACCUUGUUGGAUUAUUUCCGUUGCUAGUAGGAAAAUAUUAGUCCUAACUCCUAUGAAACACUUGUAUAGGUUCAACGGAAUUCGAUUCAUUUCCCAUUCUCUCUUAAAUAAAUAAAGUUUGCCCCGGACCGAAUUUUUUCUUGUUGUUUUGUUUCCGCCACGAGAAAGAUAUACGGAAGAGGUAUUCCCAGCGCACGAAAGAUCCGUUGAGAGUUUGUCUAGGUAAGGAAUAGAAAAAGGAGAUCAGUGCUACAUCCCUCUAUUGUUUGAUCCAAUAUUGACUGGGACGAACCCCCACUUUCAUAGAUCCUUGGUUUCAUGACCUCCCGUAGUGAUCAUUGCUUUUAAGAAAGCGGAGCCAGGAUGUGAUGGCUUUACCAGUUUGAUUGCUCUUUUCAUACAUGACUUGCUAUAUUGAUUUAAAUAAGUUAUUAUUGGUGAUCUUAGCAAAAUGCAUGAUUUUCUUAUAUAUGCUUGUCCCAAGAAAAAAACACUAUGGUAGGUGUUAUUAUCUCACUCAAUAUCCCUCUCUCUUCCCCUCCACAGAGAUAAUCUAGCUGAGGCGGGUGAUAGGCUGAGCUGGAGAUGAUCUAGUAAGCCUCGCGCUUGCUUUGCAUGAGAAUAUUAUUUUGCUUAGAUUAUUUCAAUAUAUCAUUGUUGCAGUUCUAGAGUUUGCUCCUUAGGUUAUGUUCUACUUAAUGGUAGUGUUUAAAUGGCUUGAAAUACGUAUAAUUGUGUUUGACUCGAGAUUUUACUAUUCGUUAAAUUUAUUAAUUUCGAAAUAUUGCAUUUCUAGUUUAUUAGAUUGAAAAUGACUGAAUGCUGACAUAUACGAGAAUAAUGGAUUGCUCGCGGUAUAUAUUAGACUUUGCCGAAUUUUUAACAUGAAAAAUUAAUAUGCUUGCUAGCUGGGUUUCAUUACCUGUCAUGGUCCAAAUUGUGUCGUAACACUAAGAGACUGAUUAAUGAGGCAAGAUAGGAAUUGGUCCCCAACUGCCAUUUAGGUUGUGUAAAUUCUAACCUCUAUAUGCAGCGCAAUCAAACUGUUAACAUGACAAGUUGGACGAAAGGUAAUUGUUUAAAGCUGAAUCUGUCAAUAAAUACAAUGCAACAAAUCAAGAGUCCGUGUUUUCAGGUCGAUGAUGAUAAAUGCCUCAUCUGAUGAGAGUGCAAGUUUGAUGCGGAAGGAAAGAUAAUUUGAAUACAUCAGUUUACUUGGAAUGGUGAGGAGCAUACAUCUUUCAAGCAACGAAUUGGUUGGAGAAAUUACUUCUCUUGUGGGGUUGCAUGGUUUGAACCUGUCAAUAAAUAAUUUAACUGGCAGUAUCCCUCUGAGGAUUGGACAAUUUAUGUCACUAAAUUUCCUUGACUUAAGCCAAUUGCUCCUUUCAAUUCUCCAUGCCUUCUCUCGUGCCUUUCUAUCUUCUUAUGGGAACUCCUCUGUUUUCUUCUUCAUCUUUCAAAUUUCCACUUGAAUGUGAGGCUCCUUAUAAUUGUCGCUUGUUUUUUGACCCUCUUUCUGCUUUAUUCGAGAUUACAUGUAAUAUUUCAUUCACAUCUAUACCUUAAAGGUCAUCUCUAUUUGUAGGGUACGUACUUCCCUACUAUUCAUGACCAUCUUCAUGUAUAUUAUGCGUUAUUAUAAUUCUCAAGCAAAAUUGUGUUGGGAAUAGACCCCGUAAAAAUAAUAUUCACGGUAUUAGUGAUAAACGCGGAACACUAAGUUAUGGUCAAAUCAACAAGAAUAGAAAUGCAGCAAUAAUGGCACCAAGAUUUUACGUCGAAAUCCUUCUGAAUAAGGGAAAAAACCACGGCCAAGAAGAGCAACUGAUAUCACUAUAGCGAAGAAUUUUACACUGUGUAGUAACGAGUACAAAUACUCCUAAGACCACACCCUCAAAAGAAAGAACACUCUUUUGCUUUUUCCACCUCACUACAAUAUCUCUUACACUCUAUUUUUCUUCACAGACUAUUUUCUUAUAGUCUAUGAAAUAUCUUGCUCUCUCUCACUCAGAUGUAUUGUCUGAGAUUUUGGUGUGUCUACAAAUGAAAGUAGAAGCACCUAUUUAUAGUUGCUGAAUGCUCAUAUUGAUGUAUGCAGUGACAUUAAUGUUACUGCAAAAGUCAACCGCCCAAAUCUUUUCUAAAUUGGUUGGCAUGACAAAAAGAAGAAAGGAGAAGUUUUUCUUCUUUCAGAGAGUCCGGAACCUAAAUAUUGUUUUUUGGACUCAAAUUACCUUUACAGGUGUUUUAAAAAAAUACAUUUCUAUAUAUAGCGUGCAAAAACAAGACGCUAUACAUUAACGGUAACGUCUGCCGUUAAUGUAUAAUGUCUUUUAUUCAUACGCUAUAUGGUCUGACGAUUUGACUGCCACAUAUAGCGUCUUGUUAUUGUACGCUAUAUAUAGCGUUUUCUUUUUAUACGCUAUACCCCAAUUUAAAUACUGCCCUUCGUCUUCUUCCCCGACCACCUUUCCCCCAUUUUUUAAGCCCUUUCUGGUCCCCCCCACUGCCCGUUAUUAAAAANNNNNNNNNNNNNNNNNNNNNNNNNNNNNNNNNNNNNNNNNNNNNNNNNNNNNNNNNNNNNNNNNNNNNNNNNNNNNNNNNNNNNNNNNNNNNNNNNNNNNNNNNNNNNNNNNNNNNNNNNNNNNNNNNNNNNNNNNNNNNNNNNNNNNNNNNNNNNNNNNNNNNNNNNNNNNNNNNNNNNNNNNNNNNNNNNNNNNNNNNNNNNNNNNNNNNNNNNNNNNNNNNNNNNNNNNNNNNNNNNNNNNNNNNNNNNNNNNNNNNNNNNNNNNNNNNNNNNNNNNNNNNNNNNNNNNNNNNNNNNNNNNNNNNNNNNNNNNNNNNNNNNNNNNNNNNNNNNNNNNNNNNNNNNNNNNNNNNNNNNNNNNNNNNNNNNNNNNNNNNNNNNNNNNNNNNNNNNNNNNNNNNNNNNNNNNNNNNNNNNNNNNNNNNNNNNNNNNNNNNNNNNNNNNNNNNNNNNNNNNNNNNNNNNNNNNNNNNNNNNNNNNNNNNNNNNNNNNNNNNNNNNNNNNNNNNNNNNNNNNNNNNNNNNNNNNNNNNNNNNNNNNNNNNNNNNNNNNNNNNNNNNNNNNNNNNNNNNNNNNNNNNNNNNNNNNNNNNNNNNNNNNNNNNNNNNNNNNNNNNNNNNNNNNNNNNNNNNNNNNNNNNNNNNNNNNNNNNNNNNNNNNNNNNNNNNNNNNNNNNNNNNNNNNNNNNNNNNNNNNNNNNNNNNNNNNNNNNNNNNNNNNNNNNNNNNNNNNNNNNNNNNNNNNNNNNNNNNNNNNNNNNNNNNNNNNNNNNNNNNNNNNNNNNNNNNNNNNNNNNNNNNNNNNNNNNNNNNNNNNNNNNNNNNNNNNNNNNNNNNNNNNNNNNNNNNNNNNNNNNNNNNNNNNNNNNNNNNNNNNNNNNNNNNNNNNNNNNNNNNNNNNNNNNNNNNNNNNNNNNNNNNNNNNNNNNNNNNNNNNNNNNNNNNNNNNNNNNNNNNNNNNNNNNNNNNNNNNNNNNNNNNNNNNNNNNNNNNNNNNNNNNNNNNNNNNNNNNNNNNNNNNNNNNNNNNNNNNNNNNNNNNNNNNNNNNNNNNNNNNNNNNNNNNNNNNNNNNNNNNNNNNNNNNNNNNNNNNNNNNNNNNNNNNNNNNNNNNNNNNNNNNNNNNNNNNNNNNNNNNNNNNNNNNNNNNNNNNNNNNNNNNNNNNNNNNNNNNNNNNNNNNNNNNNNNNNNNNNNNNNNNNNNNNNNNNNNNNNNNNNNNNNNNNNNNNNNNNNNNNNNNNNNNNNNNNNNNNNNNNNNNNNNNNNNNNNNNNNNNNNNNNNNNNNNNNNNNNNNNNNNNNNNNNNNNNNNNNNNNNNNNNNNNNNNNNNNNNNNNNNNNNNNNNNNNNNNNNNNNNNNNNNNNNNNNNNNNNNNNNNNNNNNNNNNNNNNNNNNNNNNNNNNNNNNNNNNNNNNNNNNNNNNNNNNNNNNNNNNNNNNNNNNNNNNNNNNNNNNNNNNNNNNNNNNNNNNNNNNNNNNNNNNNNNNNNNNNNNNNNNNNNNNNNNNNNNNNNNNNNNNNNNNNNNNNNNNNNNNNNNNNNNNNNNNNNNNNNNNNNNNNNNNNNNNNNNNNNNNNNNNNNNNNNNNNNNNNNNNNNNNNNNNNNNNNNNNNNNNNNNNNNNNNNNNNNNNNNNNNNNNNNNNNNNNNNNNNNNNNNNNNNNNNNNNNNNNNNNNNNNNNNNNNNNNNNNNNNNNNNNNNNNNNNNNNNNNNNNNNNNNNNNNNNNNNNNNNNNNNNNNNNNNNNNNNNNNNNNNNNNNNNNNNNNNNNNNNNNNNNNNNNNNNNNNNNNNNNNNNNNNNNNNNNNNNNNNNNNNNNNNNNNNNNNNNNNNNNNNNNNNNNNNNNNGAGGCACAGAGUUCUCUACGAGCGUGUAGUCCAUCGCCUCCAGGACACGGGAUUCUAUAGGAUUAUUGAGAUCGGGAGGAUACAGGUUGACUGGGCUUUGAUCACGACGUUGAUUGAGCGGUGGCGACCGGAGACGCACACUUUUCACCUGCCCAUUGGCGAGGCUACCAUCACACUACAGGGCGUUGAGGUUUUAUAUGGCCUGCCCGUUGAUGGCAUGCCCGUUUCACUGCCUAUUGCUAUGAGAUUUAUGUCGCGUGAUGCUUAUUUGGACAUGCUGCAACAGCUCACGGGUUUCAGGCCACAGGACGAGACUGCAUCAUCGGGUGCUAGUCGGUUGACUUUGACCCCUAUUAGACAUCACCUGGAGCUACUCCACCCCGAUAUCACCGACGAUACAGAGGAGGUACAUAUCACCCAAUAUACGAGGUUGUUGUUGCUUCUUCUAUUUGGAGGGGUCUUAUUCCCGAACACUUCGGGGAACCUAGUCAGCCUGAGAUUUUUGCAUCAUCUUCAGCUGCUAGAUGAGUUACCUUAUUACAGCUGGGGUGCUGUUGUUCUCGGCUACAUGUAUAGCCAAAUGUGUCGGGCGAGCAUGGGCACUCAGAGAGAUGUUUGUGGUUUUAUGCCGCUUCUACAGGUGACAACAUAUUCAAAUAAAGUGUUCAUCAGUUCCAACUCUACCUAGUUAGACUUUAUCUUAAACAUUACAUCAACUUUGUAUGUUAGGUUUGGGCCUGGGAGUGGUUCUUGCAGUUUCAGCCACCGCGACCACAAUUACCUCAUACUGUAGCACCUCCGUUUCUCCCUCUAGCCAGGAGGUGGGUUCUCCGCCGUACACUUUCACGAGUGUAUGAUGCUCAUCAUAACCUCCCCCUCUACAAGGAUGUGUUGGAUCUGCUGGAGGGCGAACAUGUAAAUAUGUACCUAAACUUACCUGGUGUAGAUUAACUUAGUGUUGUGCAUACUCACGUUUCAUGUUCUUAUUUGAUAGUUCAUCUGGACGCCAUACAUCGACGAUUUGAUAGCUUCCCUGCCACCUUAUUGCUCGGCCGACCGAUUGAUUUGGAGCACUUCUGCCCCACUCAUAUGCCUCGAUAUUGUGAAGCAUCGUGCCUCGGAGCGGGUACUUUGGCAGUUUGGCCGCCCGCAGUAUAUACCGAGGGGGCCUAUAUGGGAGCCUACACAUUAUCAGAGGGAUGAUUGUUGCAGGGCGGACGACGCAUUUAUGGCAUGGUUAGCAGCGCAAAUCCAUAUUUGGGACCAUCGAGAUCAAAUGAUUCCGCCCCACCUACACAUAUCCAGGAGGUUGAUCUUCAGAGGUAUAUGUCCUGGUACCGGCACGUCACCCGAAUUUUUAUUGGGAACCCUAUUCAUCAGGCUGGCGAUCGGUACGUUCCAUACGCCGGGCGACACGAGGCCCUGGUAUGUUUUCUAUUAUUAUUCAUUAUAUAACUGUAUUUUGGUGCAAUAUACGUAGUUUAUAUUUUAUACGUUGUGCAUGCUAUUGGACUACACACAGUCUAUUAAAUAGGACUGCAGAUGUAGGAUUAUGUCGGCGAUCCUGCGGACGCCUUGCAGGAUUAUAGCCAUCGAUUUGUAGAGUUGGCUGCCCGGACACUGCAGCGAGCCCGGGAGGAUCAGCGUUUGACACACACAACCCGUUGAAAGACUCUAACACAUUUGUAGUCAGAGUUCCCCAUCGUCUGCCACCAUCCGCAUGCAAAGUCCACUUUUCAGGGUCAUAUCGCAUUAACCAACGAUAGGCUGCCUCGUCUUCUUGCCUGAUAUAUUCCAUGUGCCUCUGAAAUUUAUGCUGUUGGUGGUCUGUUGCUGCCAUCCACAUCAAAUCAUGCAGAUCCUUAUUGGGAUAUGCCUUUUGAAAAUUGGCUUUAAGGUGCCUAACACAGUAACGAUGGUAGGCAUAAGGUUCUUCCAUGCAGGCAAGUUCUCCACAGAACUUAAGAUACCACUGUGCCGAUCAGAUAUUAGACAAAUACCGGAACGCUGUUUGACAACGUGCUCUUUCAAGUGGUUCAAAAACAACGUCCACGUCUCUUAGCUUUCAUUGUCACAAAUAGCAAAAGCUAGAGGAAAUAUCUGUCCAUUAGCAUUUACUGCCAUGACUAUCAAUAGAUUGAUAUCGUACUUUCCAUAGACAUGAGUGUCGUCUAUGGAUAUUACGGCCCGACAAUGCGAAAAACUAUAAAUUGCUAGUUUAAACGCCCAUAGCACGUAAUUAAAUGUAUAUUCUGGUUUACCUGGAAUCCACUCAUGCUUCCAUUCAACAACCGUCCCGGAGUUAAACUGCUGCAGUGUAGCCAUGUACCUAGGCAGAUCUGCAAAUGACUUAUCCCAGUUACCCUAGACUAUUUCAAACGCUCGUUUGCGCCCGAGAUAUGCCUUUCUUUUAGUAAUGAUAUGGCCAUGUUCCUGGUGGACUGCUGUAAUGCACUCUUUGAUUUUAUACCUUAUGGACACUUCGAUGUGUGGAAUAAGAAUAAGAGAAAUCAAGUCAAUAUCCAAGUUGAAGUGAUUCCCGUUGAAUGUGUCCAUUUCGCAUGUGUGGGUGAGAUGUAUUUACCCACUUUCCACAGACCUGUCUUCUUCUUGCUCGCACGCAACAUCCAAUGACAUGGACAAAAACACCUGCGACAAACAACCUUGUAUACAACCGGACUUGACUCCCAUACCGUCAUCUCACGACACUCUUUUAUAUUGUGCAUUUUACAAGCCCUGCUUAGGCGCGCUUUAUCAGGAAAAAGCAUGCCCUUUGCCAGCACCAUUGGUCUAGACUCAUCCCACAUUGCUGUCCGAAUUUCAUCAAAAUCCCUUGUGAGAGCUUCCACAUCCGGUAUGCUUGGAAAGUUAUCAAGGUAAGGAAUCUCCCUUGAAUGAAACGGCACAUGGGACUCGUACAUUGUUCGUCAGGGGGGAGGGUGGAUCAUACUCUCUCGUCAAAUUAGGUCUUUCCUUCUCAUCCUCCUCAUCACUAUCCUCACGAAGAAAGGGUGUCUCUUCUCCAAAUUCAUCAGCAUUGUUGUCGUAAUCAGUGUUCUCUUCCUCACUCUGUACAUCUGCCAGAUCCCGAUUUAAUACGUCGUCUUCGGGCAAUUGAGUAAGUACAUUUAGUUCAACUUGCUCGUUUUCACUGCACAAUCAACAAAAUAAUAAGAUGCUGAAUUUAAUAAAUAUUUUCCAUAUAGCCGUAUCACUUCACUUACAAGUCGUAAUGUGAUGAAAUUCUAUGAUGGGCAUUUUCAUUUCGGUGAUGGCUCCCAGAUGGACCAUAUGAUCCAACACACCAAAACUAUGCUUGGGUUCAAAAUUUGUAAAAUUCAUAUCCGGCCUGUACCCCCUGUUAAAUAUAUGAGCGUUAAUAUAAAUUCAAUACAACAAGAAUGUACAUCGUAAAACAAAGGAAAAUUGAAGCUUACCACUCGUCUUGUGAAUUAUGUAAAGCAGGCGGGGAUAAGUUUAAAUCAAGGAAAACUCUUUCAUCAGGAACCUGUCCGGCAAAAACUCCUCCAGAAUAGCCACCCGAUGACUGGGGGUUAUCCGGAACCUGUCCGGCAACCUCAUUGUUUGGAACGUCUUCGACCUUGACGUACAUAUCCAACAUAUUUAUUACAAGAUAUUCCCGGUAUUCAUCCGGAGUCCUCAGAAAAUCUCUCAAAGUUUCAUCAUCGUAGAUGUUUAACUCCGAGUAAAAAGCAGCCCCUUGCGGAGUGAUGGAAUACGGAUAUCUUCCGGUCACUUUCAGUAUCACUGAACGUUUCCUCACACUCAUUUUUUGCAUAACAACGAUAUUAAUUUAUCGUACUCAAUUGUAAGUGGUAAUUUAACAUGACCCUGUGGAGAUAAACUAUACCUCACAGAGUUAUUCUCCAUCACAACCUCACCCCCCAAUAUAAUGAAACUCUUAUUCUACACUCUUUAGACAUUACGAAAAAAAUGUUUCAGAAUUUAACAACAAGAAAAAAUUGAACGAGAGUUAGAAUUUUAUGUGAACGAAUUUUCCUAAAAUCCUAACCACUUUAUAUAGGAAAUAGCUAGCCCGGGAUAUGAAAUUUUUUUGCCGUAUAGCGUUCUUUAAAUAUAUGCUAUACACAUUUAAAUUAUUGUGUUUGUCAGUUCACUUAUUGGUGGGUCCAUAUUCAGGGUAUAGCGUUUUUUUUGGGCGUUAUAUGUAUAGCGUAUGAAUAAAAGACGCUAUACCUUAACGACAGACGUUACCGUUAAUGUAUAGCGUCUUGGUUUUGCAUGCUAUAUAUAGAAAUGUAUUUUUUUUAAACACCUUUUAAGGUAAUUUAAGCCCAAAAAAAUAAUAUUUAGGUUCCCAACUCUUCUUUUAUAUAUAGAGCUGGACCCCACAAAUUGGCGUUACUUUUUCAGAAUAAUAUUAUACAAACAUGUUCAAAAAAACCUUCCGUGGCACAAUGGCAGUACUACUAUCUUGUACUGCGGGUCUAAGAGACAAUAACGUAUAACGUACUUUAUGAGAGAAAUCAGAGGUUUUGAUAACAUAUUAUAAAAUAGUAAGAUAGAACAACAAAUCCAGAGAAAGUAUUAAUGUAUGUCAGUAUGUAAUCCAUUUCUUUUGAUGUCUUCUUGUAGAACUAGAAAGGCAUACCCGUUUAUAUGGGGUAUACUGUACGGGUAAAAUUGAUUUAUAACGGGUGGUCGAAUGGUAACAUAACAUGUGGAAUUGAAGAUAGGCAAAGGGCAACUCAGGGAACAACCAAUAUAGGAUACAACGAAUGUAAUUGAUAUCGAGUAAAUCCCGAUGGGGGCGUAAUCAACGGGAGAAGGUCAAGGGUGUCACGACCCUAAACUCAUUAUAGGUGCAUGAUGGCGCCCAGCAUCGCCAUUAAUACGAGAGAUAUCGUGCAUGAUAGCGCCAAACGUCGCCGUUAGGCAAGCCAACGGUGAACUGUCAGUUUAAUUAUUCAUUUUAUUAUUUUUAAAAUCAUAAGCCUUAUUAAGUAAAGGAUUCAAUACGUUUAAAAAUCAUGAAUACUUAAAAUAUUAGUAAGAUAUAAAAUAAAAGAUGACAAUAUUAAGGCGAACCAUAACAAUCAGUAGAGUAUCGCCAAAACCCGACAUCACAGUGCAUGGACAUUUACUAAGGAGUAUAAUAAGGCGUAAUAGCUUCCUGGACACUUAAACUUGUAGGGUUUUUGAAAGGCGAUACACGAACUUUGGAUUUUCCCAUUUGAACACUCAAACUUGACAAAAUGGGUACUAAUAAACACAUCAACCAGAGCGUAUAUAUCAAUUGCGCUGACAUGUACAACACAUCAUGCUAAGCAAUUUAUUACUUGCCAUGUGUUAUUUGUGGGUCCCAUUUUUAAAUACAAAAAAGGAAAAAAAAAUGCCUAAAACAUACCCAAUAUUAAUCUGUACGAGCAGCUCCAGACGUUCCUAACUUCUCCGGUGAACGACAACUCAGAUAUCACCAUGGGGAAAGUUCACGGAUCACUUGCUCGUGCUGGUAAAAUGAGGGGGAAAACUCCAAAAGUUGCCAAACAGGACAAGAAGAAGAAGCCUCGCGGCCGUGCUCACAAGAGGAUGCAAUACAAUCGCAGAUUCGUCACAGCAGUUGUUGGUUUCAGGAAGAAGAGGGGCCCGAACUCAUCCGAGAAGUAAAAUGAAGAAAUGACUUUAUUUUUAGGUAAAGAAAGUUGCUGAAGUUCAAUGAGUUGUAUUUGCAUUCUGUUGCUUCUGAGAAUACUCCAGACAAUACAAUGUUAGCACUAUUAUACAAUUGGUUUCCGUAGUUAAUGAAAUGGGAUAAGCAAGAAUUCAAUGGCCAACUUGAUCUUGACCAAGUUGCUGGAAGAAUUGCUGCUGCUCUUUAAGAGAUGAAUUCAGGCAAUUUUAUGAAUACAUGAGUUAGAAUCACAUCCAAUGGCCAACGUAUGGGAAAAUUCUAUUUUUUUCUUUUUUCUUUUUCUUUUUAUUUAUAUUUUAUUCUAAUUCCAAUUUUUUAGUAAAAACAAUACUAUUCACUCGCCUUAGUAGCGUGAUUUGCACACAGUUUAGCCAUGUCAGCUGCAGUUCUUCCACAUAGCAUGGUCAAUGGUCAAAAGUAUUUAUUAGUACCCAUUUUGUCAAGUUUGAGUAUUCAAAUGGGAAAAUUCAAAGUUUGUGUGUCGGCUUUCAAAAGCCCUACAAGUUUAAGUGGCCAGGAAGCCAUUACACCGUAUAAUAAUAAUACAACAUCUGUCCGAAAUGUAAAUAAGAUAAUAUAGAGUAAAUAGUACGAUGAAGAUUCUGCGCGCUACGAUAUGUAGCCUGAAAUGUAGCUCACCAAAAGUCUCUUCAGCAACUGCGCCUACGCGCUAAGAUGACAACCAAAUGAACCUGUCAGAUCCUGUACAUUUAGUGCAAAAGUAUAGCAUGAGCACAUAAAUCAAUGCCUACCCAGUAAGUAUCUAGCCUAACCCCGAAGAAACAAUAACGAGGGAUCGAUGUCGACACUUACUAGAGGCCCAAUAAAGCAGUAUGAUAAAUCAUAAACGAAUAUAAAGCACAACAGUAAUAACGGGGUAAGACUGUAAUUUACAUAAUCUUCCAAAAUUUCUUUAAAGAUAUAAAUUUCUCAAUCUCGUAUAGCUCAAAUAUAUUAAGUUCCAGUAUCAAAUAAAUAAGGAAUAUCAUAUAAAAUGCUAGGCAUCAGUAGAAGGAAAAAUCUCGCGAAUAGUCGGACUGUUGGCGAUAUAACGCACGAUUAUGCUGAGGUCGUACGGUCCAAUCCAGAGUGGUGUGUACACUGCCGAGGGUCGACCAGCACAAACCAGAGAUGCAUCUCAAUAUACUGCCGAGGCGUUCGGCCCGCUCCACAAGAAAGGAAGGAACUUAUCAAAUUACGAGUCACGUGCUUACAAUACAAGUACAUGAGUAUAAAGUGGAUAUACCCUUUACUGUAUAUCAAAUAUUUUGCCAACAACUAAUAUAUAUUCCUAAAUCUAUUUCAAUUAUAAAUUCACUUAAUUAAGCUAGCAAAAAUGAGUUCAAAUAAUUCAAAUAUUAUAUGAUAAAGUCCUAAGUCUACCCGAACAUAAACAUGUUUUAGCUACAUGCAGACUCUCGUUACCUCGUGCGUUCGUAGCACCCACAACUAGUAGCACAUAACAAUUACAUCACCUAGGGGAUAUUUUUUCCCUCACAAGGUUAGAUGGGAGACUUAUCUCUCUUUGAAAUCCGAUAACCGGCUCCAACGCCUCUUUAAAACUUCAAACCGAUGUCCAUCGAUCCGAAACCAGUCAAACAACAUGUAAACCAAUUAAAAUAUACCCAAAAACUCUUAAUUAAUCAAUUUCUAACAAUUCUCAACUCCGCUCGAAAAGUCAACAAAGUCAAUCUCAGGCCCACCUGCCCGGAUUCCAAAAAUUUUCGAAGAUAAACAUUACCCAUAGCACCACGAACUCAAUUAUAUAAUUUAUUCUCAAUUUCAUGUCUAAUUUCGUUGUCAAAGUCCAAAAAUAUUACUUCUAGGUUUUCUUCCAAAAAUUCCAUAAUUUCUAUGAAAUCCUAUGUUAAACUCCAUAUAUAAACCAUGUAUUUAACUCAAAACAAGCAGGAAUAACUUACCUUAUUAUAAAUGGCAAAAAUGAUCUUCAAGAAUGACCCCAAAUCGCCUCACAUGUGCUCCAAGAACUUAAAAGUGAAGAAAUGAGCUCAAAAUUCUGAAAUUAGAUAUUUAAUACACCUGCCAUGCCUCCUUAUUCUCAAUCGCGGUCAUAAUCCACACGAUCGUGGUUAACAAAAGUUCCAGCAACGUUUCCUUCAUCGCGAUCGCGGCCAAAAUCCCGCGAUCGCAAUGUACAAUUUGUAUUUUCUUCUUCACAGAUAUUCUUCAGUAUAAUGGCCAUAACUUUUGGUAUAAAAUUCGAAAUGAUAAAUGGUUUGAUUUUCUAAAUACUUGAUUCAAAGAGAUACAUUUCGUUUUUGGAUCAUCUCCAAAUUCCUUAUAGAUUGCAAGAUAUAAUCUUCCGAAGUCAGACUACUGACAACAGAAAUUCCUUCUACGCGAUCGCGACCUUCCUCCCGCGAUCGCGAUUCACAAGGCCUGGAACAACACUUUGCUCUUCGUGAUCAUGGCCCGAACCUCUGCCAUCGCAUUUCACACCCUUGACACCAGUUAUCAGCAGUUCCAAAAUGCCUAAAAGUGGUCCGGAACCACCUCAAAACUCACCCGAGGUACGAGGAACCACGUUCAAAUAUUCUAACAAGUUUAUAUACCCUAUGUAAACUUGUUCAAAGUCUCGAAAUACAAAUUACAACAUCGAAACCAAGAAUUAAAGAUCAAACUCAAUUUAUUAAACUCUCUUAACUUUCAAACCUUCAUCCUUCGCCAAACGCAUCCGAAUUACACGUAAACACUCAGGAAUGACGCCAAAUUUUAAGUGCAAGUCAUAAAUCACGAUGUGAACCUAUUCCAAGGCUCGGAACCCUAAACAUGCAUCGAUAACACAAAAGUCCACUUCAAACCAAACUUAGAAAAUUAUAAAACCUUCAAAAUGCCAACUUUCCAUAUAAGCGCCGAAAUGCCCAAGAUCACCCGAUACUCAACCCGAACAUAUGCCCAAGUCCGAAUUCAUCAUACGAACCUAUUGGAACCUUCAAAUCCCGAUUUCGAGGUCGUUUACUCAAAAUUUAAACCCUGGUCAACUUUUCCAACUCAAAGCAUCCGAAAUUUAGAAUUUUCUUGCCAAAUCAACUCCGAACUUUUCGAAAUUCAAUUCCAACCGCAGUACAAGUCAUAAUACCUUAUAUAAAGCUACUCAAGGCCUUAAACUACCGAACGACAUGCUAUAGAUCAAAAAGACCGGUCGGGUCAUUAUAAAGGAUUUGCCAUCAGAUGGCAUUCAAUGAGGAAAUAUUCACUAACAUUAAAUGAGCGACAAUUGCAGUGAAUAUUUACAUUCAAGGCCUGCCGCUAUGCGUUCAUCAAUGACCUUUUUAUUAUCAUUUAAGUGGAGCUCGAUCCUAAGAUCUUGUUUUCCUAAGUAAAGUUAUAAAUAAUAGGCUCAACAACCAUUGUAAGAACAUGAAACAUUCUAUACAAAAAGGCUAUGUUUUGCUAUUUUGCUCUGAAAUUAACAGCUUUCUUUCACUUUGUCGUUAUUUCUAUUUGAGCUCUCGGAUAUGCUGAGUUCAGAGCCAGCCCUGUCUAUUUACCACGUAACAAAUUCGAUUGUACUAUUUUACGGGUAAAUAAUUUGGCUUCCACUAUAGGGCAUACACUGCGUAAUUGUUCUGAUUCAUUCAUUUAUUACUAACUUGUUUUGAUUCUUUUCUUAGUGAAAAAUGAUAUAACAUCUAAUGAUGUCAACAUCACACACAAUGUUGAGAGGCACGAAAAAUUGUCCCAACAUGAUGACUUAAUUAGUGAGACUCGCAACGAAGGGGAUGAGACGACCCCGGUUCGAGAUGGUCAAUCCUUGGCAUGUGCGAGAAUCUAUUCCUGAUGAUGUGGAGGAGGAAUAUGUCAUGGAAAUGGUUAAAAUCCUGAGAGAACAACAUAAAGCAAUUAUGAAACAUCUCUCAAGGUAGGAUCAGGUGAUGUCGGAGUUAAAACAAGUGUCACGACCCAAACCAAUAGGCCGCGACAGGCACCCGAUACCUUACUCGAUCGAGUACCAACGUAACGUAUCUUUCUUAUUACCUCAUCAUAUACACGUGACAUACAAGCCUAAUAGGCCAACAUAAUCAUUUAUAAACUCAAAACAUAGGCCGAUGAGGCCAUACAAUUUUUCACGUAUACGACAUAUGUCUAUAAGCCUCUAAGAGUACAUAAAUGUCAUAAAGGUCGGGNNNNNNNNNNNNNNNNNNNNNNNNNAAGUUGAAUUUUUGAAGUUUCCGGUUCGAUAGUGAGAUUUUGAUACAAGGGUCGGAAUGGAAUUCCGGAAGUUGGAGUAGCUCUGUAGUGUUGAAUGUGACGUGUGUGCAACAUUUCGGGUCAUUCGGACGAGGUUUGAUAGACUUUUUAAUCAAAAGCAUAUUUUUAGAGUUUUUAGACUUCUUAGGCUUGAAUCCGAUGGAAAAUAGGUGUUUUGAUGUUGUUUUGAGCAUUCCGAAGGUUGGAACAAGUUUGAAUGAUGUUUUAGCAUUGGUUGGCAGGUUUGGUUGAGGUCCCGGGGGUCUCGGGAUGAUUUCGGAUGCUUGACGGAAAGAUUUUAGAAUUAAAGUUGCAGCUUCAGCUGCUGGUUCUAUCAUAACCGCACCUACGGUUUGAGUUUCACAGGUGCGGUGCCGCAGAAGUGGCUCAGCAGUCGCAGAAGCGGAAGUGAGGAAGGGGCCAGAGUCGGCAGAUGCGGUCAGGAAACCAUAGAAGCGGCACCGCAUCUGCGGUAAUGUAGUCGCAGGUGCAGAAAGUCCUCCUUAAGUGAGAAGUCGCAGAUGCACUCUUUGGUCCGCAAAAGCGGGACCACAGAUGCAGAAACAGCUGGGCAGAAAUAUGAAAUUUUGAGGGUUUAGUUUCAAAAGUUAGAAAUUCGAUUUGAAGCUCGGGAGAGGGCGAUUUUGAGAGGAAAUUGAAGAGGAGAUCAUUGGGUAAUGAUUAUUUAACUCUUUCUAGUUAUAUUCCAUCAAUCUAUAGUUAGUUUCAUCAUUUAAUUUCGGAUUGGAGAUGAGAAUUGGGGAGAAGUUGGAAGAAAGUUCUUAGACUUAGAAUCCGACUUUUGAUUGGGAAUUUGACCUUAGAUUUGAAUAUUUGGUAUGCAUGAACUCGUGAGAGCGUGAGGACUCUGAAAAUACAAAUUUUACUAGAUUUCGAGACGUGGGCCUGAGGGGCGUUUUAGUUAUUUUACCUAAUUUCGCAUAUUAGCUUAGAAUUUCUUUGUAGAAUCAGUUACUUGAAAUGUUAUUUACAUUAUGCAAUUGAAUUGAAUAGAUUUGGGCCAUUUAGAGUCGAGUACUCGUGGCAAGAGCGUGGUUUCGGGUUGAUUUUGAGCCGGUUCGAGGUAAAUGGCUUGUCUAACCUUGUGUGGGGGACUUCCCCUUCAGAUAUGAUAUAUUUGAUAAUUGAAAUGCCUUGUACGUGAGGUGACGAGCACGUACUUGAGCUAAUUGUUGAAAAUCCAAUUUUUUCUUUAAGUAUUUUGAGUUCUUUUUCCUAUUUUAUUCUACUUGCGAAUUUAGCCUGUUGCUAGUUUAGAAAUGCAUGUUUAGUUGACUUAAUUGCCUAUUUUCUUAAACUGCCUUAAUUGCAUUACGUGAAGAAUGUUAGGCUAGAAUUAACUGUUUACUUGGUACGAAAUUUAGCUUAAUUGGGUAUUCUUGUGUUGAUGUUGUGUAAUUUUACUUUGGGACUAUGAGGCAGCAUCCCGGGAGAUCCCCUAUACGUAUUUAUGAUCUGAACUGAGGUGCGGGAUACCAAGAGAUCCCUGGCACAUAUAUUGAGGAUACCAAGAGAUCCUCGGGAUACCGAGAAAUCUCUAGCAUAUAUUGAGGAUACCAAGAGAUCUUCGGGAUACCAAGAGAUCCCUAACAUUUAUUGAGGAUACCAAGAGAUCCCUAGCAUAUAUUGAGGAUACCAAGAGAUCUUUGGGAUACCAAGAGACCCCCGACUAUCAUCCUUGUUAUGAGUGGUACUUUCUGGUGGUUGCCUUUAUUUCUGUUUCCGUUAUUUUACUCUUUGUUAUCUUGUGUAGAUUCUUACUGUAGAUUCUCAAUUGUACUAUUUAUCUUAUCCUGUCAUCUUAUUAUUUAUUUAACCUCAGUAGGGUCUUGACCUUCCUCGUU